rnacentral:lncRNA from 1 species
CUUUGCGCCUGUCUGUCCUUCGCAUAUUUCAUUGCGCCUCAGUCCUAUUCAACCCAUGGAAUUGAAAGUCUAAUCUUUCUUUGGGUCCUCCGUUUUAGAGUCCUACGGAUAAAUCCUCCGGACCUGUCUUAUGGCACCUCUCUUAGUCGAGCUGCUUCGCACCUGGAAGUCUCGUCAAUAUUCUUUUCACCUUCGGUUCAAUUAUUUUGGAGGGCUCAAAGAAUUUGAGACGAGUGCAAGCAGUUUCAUUCUCAGUUUCAGUACUCUAAGCAAGGUAAUUCUCAGAGUCAUCUGUCUAUCCCGUUAAGGGGCAGGUGUUCAGCCGGAGACAAGAAAGGGCUCGACUUCCUUUGGGGAUUAUCCCUUGAAUCAGUGGGAGUUGGUCUUGCAGUAGCAGUUCUUGUUCCAGUUUCAUAGGUUGAAUGAUCUCUUUCGUAAGGCAAAAAGGCUGAUUUCUCUAUUUGGAAUAUCUGUCCCAUUAUUUCAAAGUAAAGGAAAGCCUUUAGAUGCGCUCAAGCGCCCAACUGGGCUCGAAAGCUGCGAAAAAAGUCUCGCUGUGAAAUCGGUGUGGUGAGGUAUUGGAAGUGUUCAGCGAAUCGAGAGAAAGACAAGAAAGUGAAAGGCAGAGCUUCCGCAAAACGAGGUAGGUAGCUUUCGCUAAUGAGAGAUGGCUUUGGGGAUUAGGUCUCCAAAUUCAUGGAAUUUCUUUUCUCUUUCUAUAUAUGAGAAGCAAAGAUGCACAGAGCAACCCGACCGAAGGCGCUGAAGGAGGGCAAGUGGUCCACUCUCUCAUCUACAACAGAAGAUCAACCCCUUGUCCAAACUGAAGAUAAAGUUCAUAUGGACCUGAUCUCAAAUCCCCUAAUGGAUAGUCCUUCGGACCUGUCUUAUGGCACCGCGGAGUGGUCCGGAGGCGCAAUUCAAUAUGCGACUUUGAACCGGAGGUUCAAUGCCCACGGAGCGGGAGAGGUCUCGUCUUUUCCGCUGACUCCCACUUUUUCUUUCUGUAUUUGCUUAGUCUUUGCUUUGUUCUUUUCCCCUUUCCACUUGUACUUCCACUUUCUUCCUUUUUGAUAUCGCUUUUCUUCUUUCAGUUGCCUUCCUUCCUUUCUCCCCUCUGAUUUUAUGGAUGCCCCUCCCUUUAGACUUGCAGUAAAGCUGAACAAGUUGACUCAGCUUGCGCUUGGCUUCACUGCCUUGACUAUCAGAGAGAGGAAUUGCUAAAUAGACAGAGAGUAGUACCAUAGGCUUUCUUCUUUUUAGCUAGUGAAAGAGGGCAAUAUUCUUUGCGCCUUCCAUCUGCCUGCUUUCUUUGACUGCAACCAUGCUUGCCAGAGUUCUUGCUUCCCUUUUUCGGCCCCAGCCACAUACCGGUUAGCGAGGAGAUUGGUCUAAGAUGGCUAGUUGCUUGUACUUUAAUCGAGAAAAAGUUGGAGAUAUGAGAGAAAUUCUUUUCUUUCUUUGGGAUAAAUUGCCAAUUCCAUGAAAGCAUUUGCCUUAAUGAAAAAAGGGGAUCCUAUUGACCUAGGAUAAUAAGCUCAUGAGCUUAGUCUUACUUCACCAGAAAGGAAAGAAGACUUCCAUCUCCAAGUUGAACUCAGACCUAGCUCCCUUCUUUAUAUCGCCUCUGCUGGUCAUUCUGCUUUGAAACUAUGGGAAAUGAAUUAGAUAAAUCAGCCUUUCUUUCUAUAAAGAGAUAUAUAGCUCAUUCCCGAUCUCACUACUUCGCAAAUUCUUUGCUCCUUCUCUUUGUUCAAGAAGGGCUACGUGGGCGACUGCUGAAACUGGGUCCCGCACCCCUAUUUAUUUAUGGAUGUCAUUGAGCGGAGGACCUCGAUCAUUCUUUGAGGACGGAAGCUUGAUAAAGUCAGAAGGCGCAAAGAAUAUUGCCCUUUUUGAAAGGCACCAAAAACAAAGGCGCAAAGAAUAUUGCGUUAGAAAUCAGUGGAAUUAAUCAGUCCUCCGCCUAAGAGCGCAAACCAAAGGCAAAGGACGCGUCGGACUCCCGGACCUCUUUAUAUCCACAGGAAAAGCUUGAUAAAGUCAGAAGGCGCAAAGACGCAAUAUUCUUUGUUUUUGGCUAGGCUUUCUUUCUUCUUGUCUUUUAUUGCUCCUAACCCCGAAAGAGGUGGGGUUCCUUCUAACCUCUCCUCUUCCCCACGUAGCGGUCGAGACUAUUCUACUCUUUCCGGAUAGAUUCUGUUCUUUGUCUUUCUCAAAUUCUUUGAGCAUCGACCGCCUACAAGAUCCAGUCAAUUAAUGUAGUGGGCUGACUUUGCGCCUCAGUCGCAGCUCCUUUCAGUUCUCCGCAAUAUUCCCCAUAUUAAGCUACGGAGGCCAGACAGGUCCGAAGGACUAUCCAUAUUAACCCGUCUGUCAUCUGGUCCCUUUGAUUUUCUUCUUUGCUCCUAACUACUAAUGGAAAGGACCCACGGAGCGGUGCAAAGAAUAUUGCGAAGGACAGACAGGUCCGAAGGACUAUCCAUAUUAACAUUAACCCGUCUGUCCUUCGGUCUUAAUACUCCUAACUACGGGGGAUAUUCUUGUAAUUAAUUGACUGGAUCUUGUUUGCGUGAGGUGCAAAGAAUAUUGCGAUGUAGGCUCGACAGGGAUAUUCUUGGAUUUCAGACUCGCGUAGGCGCAGUUGCGCAAAGAAUAUUGCGAAAACGUAGGUGCAAAGAUCUAUGGCCCAAUUAUAAGGGGUCCAGAUGACUAUCCAUUAGGGAAUGUGAGAAGCUCCUUAACAGGAGUGCGGAGUCUGAAAUCCCGGGUUAAUAUGGAUAGUCCUUCGGACGUCCGAAGGACUCUAAAAAGGAGCCUAACGGAGGCUCAAAGAAUAUUGAGGUUAGGAGCAUUGAAUUUAUAGAGAAUAGUCCGGAGGACCUCCUUCAGCAUAAUCUAUGAAUGAUCGGUUUCAUAUUGCGGAAAAGAAGAAAGGCUCUUUUCAUAUUGAGAAAUCCCGUCCUUCGGACAGACGGGUUAAUAUGGAUAGUCCUUCGGACCUGUCUGUCCUUCGGACUGGAGCCAGAAAAAAAAGGGCAAUAUUCUUUGCGCCUUCUGACUGCUAACCUCUGCGGUCAGUCCUUCGGACCAGGUGCGCGAAGCGAAGCGACUGGAAGGAUAGAAGCAGCUCGACUAAGAAGGAGAGGCGCCAUAAGACAGGUCCGGAGUCCGCAGUCCGCAGGAUUUAUCCGUAGUCCUACGUCCGGAGUCCGCAGGGCCAAAGAAAGGUCCAGGGUCCGGAGUCCGCAGGAUUCUUAUCCGGAGUCCGGAGGAUUUAUCCGUAGGACCAUCCGUAAUUAACCGAAGUAGGACUAUCCAUAUGGAAGUAGGACCAUCCGUAAUUAACAGAAGUAGGACUCUAAAACGGAGGACCCAAAGAAAGAUUAGAUUUUAGGCGAAGGACUGAUUAAUUCCACUAAUAUUUCGGAGGACUUGUUAAUGGAACUGAUUGUAGUAGGCGUCGGACAACUCAUUCAUUCUAUUUAGACCUCAAUGAAGAAUAUUGAUGAUCUCUCGCUAUCGGAUAUCAAGAGUAUUCCAAAGAUUACUAUCCUGUUCAAGUCUCGUUUUUGACUAAUGGGAUGCCUUUUUUCAUUUUCAUCAGCCAAGGUCAAGACCUGCUAGUCCUACCACGUUAAGGGAGAGCACCCAACUUGCUUGUUGACACGUGAGGGAAAAUAGGAGUCAGAGGUGGGAGGAUUUACCACGUUAGCCCUAUGGUAGUGAUGGUUGGUCUUUUAGAUAUUAUGUCCUUUGAGUGCCUUUUGCGCGCUUAGCCUCGGAAAGAAAGAGGUGCUUCUACAGCGCUUUGGUGCUAAAACCUAAAACUAGGCUCAAUUCGGAAACUGAAACGAAGAAAUUCCCACGCAAUAUUCUUUGCCUGAAAUUUGAAGGAGUCUUAAGACCUCGCAUAUUUCAUUGCGCCUUCGCAUAUUUCAUUGCGCCUCAGUCCUAUCCAUUAGGAAUUAAACUGCGCUAGUAGGAUAGAUACGGCAAGAUCUUUCACUUUCUUCCUUGACCUUCCGGCACUGGGCGGGCUUGUAGACUAUUUCAUUCCAAAUCGUCGCCCCUUUCCUUAUCUACCGUGUGCCUAUUUGCUUUCUUUCAUAGGCAAAUUUCUUUGUCGGUGGCAACAUCGGCAUGCGUUAUAUAAGACUUUAAGCGCACCUUCACUACAAGACUGCCAGAACCGUCACGGGCUUCUUCUGGAACGAGGCGCAAAGAAUAUAUAGAAUAAAGGAGAGGAGUGGAACUGCUCGACUGUAAGGAGAGGAGUGGAACUGCUCGACUGUAAGGAGAGGAGUCCUUUUUCCGUAGGUUGAUGCUUUGUAUCGCACGCUUCUUCUAUUUUUCUAUAUAGUGUGAACACCUUGCCCCCUAUUCAUUAGUUCCAAGAAAGGGGCCGUUCACGUCGCCGGUUUUUGAUCUAGUUGCAAUAAAAUAAGUUCGCUUUUUUUCGUCGAGAUUGGGUUGGUGUGAAGCCUCAGUACAAGAUCGAAAAGAAUGCAUAGCAUUCCAAGUGAGAUGCCCAAGAUAAAAGGAACGAGGGGAAGAAUCAAUGACGGAGGACGCUCAUUCUAAUGGACCUCGCAUAUUUCAUUGCGCCUUCGCAAUAUUCUUUGCACCGCUCCGUGGGUCCUAUCCAUUAGACUGCACCUCGCAAUAUUCUUUGCGCCUGGAAGUCUAGUCAAUAUUCUUUUCACCUCCGGACUAUCCAUAUUAACCCACUAAAAAAGCGAAGGACUGCUAACCUCUGCGGUCAGUCCUUCGGACCAGGUGAGUCAGAAACAUUAACUUUAGGCAGAUCCCCCCUUAUUCUUAAAUAGUGGGACUUCUCGCAAUAUUCUUUGCGCCUCUCAACAAUAUCCCUGUCUUAUGGCACCUUCUGCUUCAUGAUUUUGGAUAGCCAAUUAUAUAGAAUCUUUGACCCUUUGUUCAUUGCCUUGAUAGGCUUGGAGUUGAUUCCACUUUUGUCUCUUCUUUAGGCUUUCUCAAUAUUCUUUUCACCUUGCCUCGUCCGGAGGACUAUCCAUAUUAACCUGUCUAGCCUUCGGACUGGUCCGGAGGCGCAAAGAAUAUUGCCCAUUAGAACUUUUUUCAAUCAAAAAGCGUGAGGAUCAUUCUCAACUCUCGAUGUUAGAAGGUGCAAAAUCAAUGGGUGCCGGAGCUGCUACAAUUGCUUCAGCGGGAGCUGCUGUCGGUAUUGGAAACGUCUUCAGUUCUUUGAUCCAUUCCGUGGCGCGAAAUCCAUCAUUGGCUAAACAAUCAUUUGGUUAUGCCAUUUUGGGCUUUGCUCUAACCGAAGCUAUUGCAUUGUUUGCUCUAAUGAUGGCCUUUUUGAUCUCAUUCGUAUUCCGAUCUCAAAGGUUUCAGUCUCAUAAAGCAAGACCUCCGAAAUAUUAGUGGAAUCUUUGAAUAGUCCUUCGCCUCAUUCUAAUGGACCAACAACAGUUCUUCCCGCUGAUUUUCAUUGCGCCUGGACCUUUGUUUUUGGAAUAAUUGACCCCCUCCGUUAGGCGCAAAGAAUAUUGCGAGAGUCCUGAUCCUUUAUAAAGCAGUUUCAGACGUUAGGAGCAAAGAAUAUUGCGAGACCGGUCCGUCCUCCGGACUCAAGGAUUCCGCUAAAGUUUAGGGAAUUUAGGAGCUAUUCCAAAACGAGCUGUUAAAUUCCCCCACGGAGCGGUAUCUAAUGUUUCAGACGUUAGGCGCAAAGAAUAUUGCGAGACCGCGUAGAAGGAGUCUUAUUCCAAUAAUAUCCGUAAUGAUCCUUUCUUUAUAAAGCCGUUUUUUUCGGAGUAUUAGGAACCGGCUUAAAUAGGCGACUCAUGAUUCCACUAAAUAGUUAGGCUCCAUAAGACAGGUCCGAAGGCGUCACAGGUUAAUAUGGAUAGGACUGAGGUCUUAAGACUCCUAACUACUAAUGGAAAGGACUGAGGACGUCCGAAGGACUCUAAAGAGGACGGGGGUGAGGCGCAAAGAAUUUGCGAUGCGUUCCAAAAAAAAGCUGUGAAAUCCCCACGGUGCGGUGCAAAUCUUCUUAUAGAUUAUGCUGAAGGAGGAUCAAUGAAAUUUGAUGAGUCAUGAUCCCGAAAAAGACUGCCACUCCGCGGUUCAAUUCAAUAUUCAAGGCGGAGGUUCAAAGUCGCAUAUUGAAUUGCGCCUCCUUCUAAUGGAUAGUCCUACGGAUAAAUCCUCCGGACUACUUCGGUUAAUUACGGAUGGUCCUACUUCUGUUAAUUACGGAUGGUCCUACGGAUAAAUCCUCCGGACUACUUCCCUCCAUAUGGAUGGUCCUACGGAUAAAUCACCUGGACCUUUCUUUGGCCCUGCGGACUCCGGACUGUUAAGGCUCAAAGAAGAUUUCGAAAUCCAUAUAUAUAAAAAAGGCUAGGCGAAAGGCGCGAAGCGAAGCGCAUGAAAUUCAGAGGUGCAAAGAAGAAAGAAAGAAGAGAAUGGCGAUCAGAAGAUUGAGAAAUCCAUAUUUGUGGAUAAGAGAGGUCCUUCGGACUGGUAGAUUUCAGACGAUAGAGGUGCAAAGAAGAAAGAAGAGAGUUGCGUGAGAAAGUCAAAUAAUAGCUAUUAAUACUCCUACAAUAUCCCUGUCUUAUGGAGCCUUAGUCGUAUUCCAAAAAAUAGCCGUUUUCAAAGUCAAUGACAUCGGUUUUUAGUCAGCUAAAGAUAUUCUUUCUUCCCGCUCCGUGGGCUUAACGGUUCAAUGAACAAGGGGUGUAGUUCCUCCGCAAUAUUCUUUGCGCCUUCGCCUCGCAAUAUUCUUUGCUCCUAACUACGGGGGUACGAUCUAACUAAAAGGAUUCCACAUUCAAGAGGACCGGACACCUGAGUCGAGUAAUGGGAAGCGGGCUAGUCCCCGAAAAUGCUCGUUCCUGUUGGGGCUUACAAUGAACCUUGUGACUCUAACUCUUCUUCAAAAAAAGCCUCUCUAUAUUAGCGGAUCAGUCUUUACUUAUCUCAAGCAAUGUCCAUCCCAUGCCUUUCUUGGUUGGACCAACCCAACCGGCGAUUUCCGACAAGUCUUUCUUCAUUUUUCUUGAAAGAAGCGGAACUACAGGGAUGAAAUGAAAAGUGUUUCUGACUCUUACGCCCAACAGCCCACUUGAGCAAUUUGCCAUUCUCCCAUUGAUUCCUAUGCAUAUAGGAAACUAUUAUUUCUCAUUCACAAAUCCAUCUUUGUUUAUGCUGCUAACUCUCAGUUUGGUCCUACUUCUGCUUCAUUUUGUUACUAAAAACGGAGGAGGAAACUCAGUACCAAAUGCUUGGCAAUCCUUGGUAGAGCUUAUUUAUGAUUUCGUCCCGAACCUGGUAAACGAACAAAUAGGUGGUCUUUCCGGAAAUGUGAAACAAAAGUUUUUCCCUCGCAUCUUGGUCACUUUGACUUUUUCGUUAUUUCGUAAUCCCCAGGGUAUGAUACCUUAUAGCUUCACAGUUACAAGUCAUUUUCUCAUUACUUUGGGUCUCUCAUUUUCUCUUUUUAUUGGUAUUACUAUAGUGGGAUUUCAAAGAAAUGGGCUUCAUUUUUUCAGUUUUUUAUUACCCGCAGGAGUCCCACUGCCAUUAGCACCUUUUUUAGUACUCCUUGAGCUAAUCCCUCAUUGUUUUCGCGCAUUAAGCUCAGGAAUACGUUUAUUUGCUAAUAUGAUGGCCGGUCAUAGUUCAGUAAAGAUUUUAAGUGGGUCCGCUUGGACUAUGCUAUGUAUGAAUAAUAUUCUCUAUUUCAUAGGAGAUCCUGGUCCUUUAUUUAUAGUUCUUGCAUUAACCGGUUUGGAAUUAGGUGUAGCUAUAUCACAAGCUCAUGUUUCUACGAUCUCAAUCUGUAUUUACUUGAAUGAUGCUACAAAUCUCCAUCAAAAUGGUUAUUUAUUUAUAAUUGAACAAAAGCGAAAAUCAAGCUCCAGAUCCUAGGCUAAAAUCAAGGCGGUCGAUCGAGUGGAAGAGUGGAAAUAAGGCAUGUCCGGAUAAGUCAAUGUUCUCAAAUUCAGGCUCAAGAUGAGAUUCUUUCUUUUCUGGCCUUAGGCGCAAAGAAUAUUGCGAUGCGAUUGCCUUCUAUAUAUUCUUUGCACCUUCGGACCGGCAAAAAGAAAGGUCAAGAUGACAUUCUUGAUUUAGGAGCGAAGCAUGAAAAGAAGAGAUAAAUAAAGUGUUAAGGAGCGCAAUCAAUGAACAAAGGAGGUCGGAUCGUCCUUUAAGUUUCAUGGCUUUCCUGAGAAGGAGCUUCAAGCUCUCACUCAGAUACAUCGGGUCAGACAUAAGAAGGGGAGGGCCAGUAUGAUCUCUUUCCGUUGAGGAUCAAAGUCGCAUAUUUCAUUGCGCCUCCUUCGGUUAAUUACGGAUGGUCCUACUUCCAUAUGGAUAGUCCUACGGAUAAGAAUCCUCCGGACUCCGGACUACUUCGGUUAAUUACGGAUGGUCCUACGGAUAAAUCACCUGGACCUUUCUUUGGCCCAUAUGGAUGGUCCUACGGAUAAAUCACCUGGACCUUUCUUUGGCCCUGCGGACUGCGGACUCCGGACUACGGAUAAAUCCUGCUUCUAAUGGAUAGUCCUACUUCCAUAUGGAUAGUCCUACGGAUAAGAAUCCUCCGGACGUAGGACCCUGGACCUUUCUUUGGCACGUAGGACGGGAGAGUUGUCUUUCUUCUUUCUCUCUGAACCCCACUACGCGGUUUCCUCUUCUUCUUUUUAGUAGGCUUCAUUAAAUUAAGCUACGUAGGACUCUUUAUCAAUGAUUUAUCGUCUUCUCUCUCUUUUCUCAGAGUAGGUUCUAGGGUUGGGUUCUGGACUUCACUAAAUAUUCCACUUUUCUUAUCAAGAACUCCUUCUUUCUACUGGGAAAUUGUGCAUUUGAACUAAUCAAUGGCGGAUGGGGGUUCAUUCGAGGGUCGGCUGAUCUUGAAUGAUAAGAAAAGGAGUAGAAGAGCUUUACCAGAGCCUUAGCGAGAGGUUGCUAAAGCGCUGGGUGAGGGACAAUUGGUGAGCCGUAUGAUGGGCAGAGUCAUAGGUUUCGAGGGCUAAGAGAGAGAGAAUGAGAGAAGAAAGAUACCGGAAGCCGCCACUUGAUAGGCUCCUUCUUCUUUCUUUUCUUUCUUCUUCGGUCUGAAUAUCCCUUAUGCUUGCAUUGGCCAAAGAAAUCUGCAUUCUUUGACUUUUAGAUCUCAAUCCUAGUUUAUCCCAUUCUUUCUCCUUUAAAGCGCCAAUUUGCGACCCACGGAGCGCUUUUCAAUAUUCUUUCUCAGGCAAUAUCAAUAUUCAGGUUUCUCGCAAUAUUCUCAAAUCAAAUUUCGAGCAAUAUGGGCCUUCUACGCGGUCGAAGACUUCUUCCUCCCAGUUCUAGCGGUCCCUCUCCCUACGGUCGAGCUAUUUCAUCCCUCUCCCUACGGUCGAGCUAUUUCAUCCCUCUCCCUACGGUCGAGCUAUUUCAUCCCUCUCCCUCUUCCUACCCCCUGUUUGGCCGGCCUUUCUUACUUCAACUUCUGGAGCUUUCUCUCUUUUAUAAGGCGAAAGACUGACCUCGAUCGAUAUUCCACAUCUCCUCUCGCGGGGAUUCUGGGUCCAGCAUCUCAUGGUCUACAUGAUGAUCUUGGAAAGAUUUGGACACCAAGGCAGAACCAUUGAAUACGGAGAAGGGUAGAUCACCCCGCCGAUUCUCUUCUGACUUUCUUAUCUUUUUGUGAUGCUGCCCGCUUUAUUCUCAUCCUGAGUGAUAGCACAUAUAAUUCCCCUAUUUCAGUCUGACUCCAUAAUCCGACCCCUUGUUCAUUGAGGCGGUCAAUCCGGCCGGCCUUCAAGGCGCCGUCCUACGCAGGUGCUGCGAGAACCUUUACCAAGUCUGACUCGGUCGGGUUAAGAAUACCUGACCCUUUCCUAUUCAAGAGCGGACUCUUACUCAAGAUCGGAAUUCUUGGUCUUACCCUUGCUCAGAACCCUAUUUAUAGUCUUUCAAGAAGUAGGUGCUACACCCCCAUUCCAGUGAACCCCAUCAGUCCGGGAUCGCUAUCGGUCUCUAACCUAUUUUUCUCAGUAUCCACUCUUCACCCUUAAUCAGAGAUAUGGUAAAGCCUGCUAGUCUUCCUCAUUCCUCUUCGGAAACUCUUAUUCCGGGGUGGACGAAUACCUUUGGCCUCGCUACCCUAUUCGGAAAGAGAGAAUGAGAAGGAGGCGUAAACUCUCUCAUUCUAAUAGUACUCUUCCCCUGCUUCUUUAUCUCCUGAUCCCCUUUCUUUGGCCCUAUUCAGGUCGAAAGCUUUCGCUUUCAGUGUCUGACGAAGGAUCUCAUACUUUCCCCUAGCAAUAUGCUAAGCUCUGACUCCCCUUUAAUGAGGCGUAGAUCCCGCUCCGUGGGCAACUUUCUCAGCAGCCAGGGCUACGGCUCGGUCUCAUUCAAAGAUCUUGGUACUGAACCCACUGCCUCGAUGCGGGACCCCUUCUCUGGCAUGAAUCCACGGCAGGUUGAAGGAAGUCGGGAUGGCGCCAGGCCUCUGAAGAAUUCUUUACCUACACAAAAGAGAGAAUUCGGCCAGUUCAGGCGUCUACCUCAUCGCGAGAAGACUUCCUUGACGGAUUCCUAUUUGCUUCUUCCGAUCCGUGGAGACGGAUAACCUGGGGAGCCUACUCAGCCUAUGAAAGACUGAUCCCUAUCCGAGGACAUAGUAGUCGAGCGUGAACCCUCUUAACCCACUACGCGGGAAAUCUGGCCCGGCUGGUCGACUUUCUUCGAACCUAGGUCUGGGAGUCUCGCCUUUUCUUUAUUUCGCAACCUUAUAUUACCUUUCCUUCAAGUACUCAUUUGAUUAGGAGUCGGAUGGGCUGAUUAUUGCGGACUCCCGCUCCGUGGGAAUUCGUAUUUCAAUUAGGUUCUGGAAUUUGAAGGUCAACUCCUUCGCUAUCACUUUUCUGGUCUAGCCUUAUCAUAAAGAGGGUCGUCUCGCAGCCUAAUCCGAAACCUCAUUCCUGGAGGCCUUUCGCUUACCGCUCCGUGGGAGGGUAAGGCACUACUACUAUUUGAGAAUUAGCCUUUUGAAGAGCUGAAACUCUAAACCUAUGGAAUCAGACUCCUUGGCUGGGUGAAGCAGCGGACUGAGGAUCUAAUUGCAGGAUAGCCGCCAGUGGGUGGGGUUGGUUGGCUUCUAGAAAUUAGCCGAAUAGGAGGGCUCUCAUUUAUGAUUAUGAUCCUUAUCUUUCAACUGAAGAAAGAAUAUCCUCCAAGGCCCAUUCUUAGUCUCGCUCAAUCUCCCACUCGGACUCUACAAAGCCUAAGAGUUCGGCGCGGACGAUUGUCUUGGAUGAAAGAAUAGCUCUCACUCUCAUUCAAGAUCGAAAAGAAGAGAAUUACGGUAUUUCUGAAAGUCACUCCUCAAAUUCUUUGAGCCUCGUAUUCGCUCAGCAAAGAGCUACUGCAUUCCCUCUCGUUCAUUCUCUCGCUACUGAAUUCCUCAACGGGUAUCGAUUUCAUUCCGAAACCUUUCUUCUUCUUCUCGUGAAAGAUCCUAAUUCUUAGUUCAUGCUGGAGCUAACCUCUCCUGAGAAUGAGAACUCUGAUGAAUGAAAUACCAUGACGAAUCUACUCUACUCGGGACAUAGGCUUCUGACCCGCUCCGUGGGCUCCCCUCCCUCUUUUGGUCUCGACAAGGUUCCCCGCCAGACUAUGACUCUUGAUCUUUCUUCCGAAAGAGAGGAAAUAAUCUUUUCAUCGAAAUCACUCCCCAACUCGGCCAACUAAGCAGCAAGAACUCGGUUUCUGGGUAGAAAGAAGUCAAAGAAGAGUGAAAAGAGCUAUGAUGGUCGCGCUUUCUCUUGUUGUUAUGAAGAGAGUUCUUUCUUUCUCAAUCGGUAAUAAUACCCAAAGGGCUACUGCGGUACCAACCGGAAGAAAAUCAGUCAAAUCCCUUUUCUUCUUUCUUUUCUUUGUGUCCGGCGGAUGUCUUAUAAAUCGUCUCUCUUUCAUGAUCCGUUGCGGAAGGGUACGCAACUCGAUCGGUCCUCCGGACUAUUCGCUAUUCGGUAUUGAAAAGAAAGGCGUAUUUCAAUCAAAUUCACCCGAAGCAGAAUAAGCAGCGGAAUAAAUCGGGGCGCGAGACUAACCUAAAGGGGAAGAAGCAGUACCUUUGUUCUUGUUCCAGUCGAGUUUCAAUUCAAGAGUUGAGGAAAAGCCGAUGUAGUUUUGUCGCUGAGGCUCAACCGUAUCUCUUCCUUCUUAAGCCUCUUCUAGAUUUGAUACUAGAAGUCGCUUUUCUUGUUCUUGAAUAGGCAGAUCGAGAACGAAGAAUAAGAACAAGACUCAAAUCAAAGGAAGAAAGGAAUCAAAGAGGUUCCUUCCAGAAGUGCUAGCCCUUGUUCAUUGGGAAUAAAGAAUAGACCUCUCUUUCUCCGGACCACAAACUCAAACAAAAACGAUAAUCAAACUAUGUUCAUUUCUGUCCUAGGACAAUGCCUUGCAAUUUCCCGGCUUUUUUGAAGCAAAAUAGGACUAAAUAUCAUCUUUCUAUUUAACGAAAAUAGAGAAAAAAAGAAGGCAUUUGACUUGAUUUCUUGCUACUUCCCUAUGGGCAAAACCUAGCAUUUUCCGGGAUUUCCCUCCGUCUUCAAUCUCCAAAUCAAUGAAGGAGUACAAUGAAAUCAUAAUGAUUCUUGAAUUCGAGUUAAUGUUAAUGAGCUUCUUUUCGUCAAUAUUCUAUAUUCUUUUCACCUUUCUUUCUCCGUCCUCAGUCCUAUCCAUAUUAACCCGUCUGUCCUUCGGACGGGGGAUUUGAAUACUAUUACUUCUUAUUUGACGUUAGGAGCUUUGAAUUUGCGAAGCGCUCGGAGAAUCAGAAUAGAAUGAGAGAGAGGAUUGGGACCGAAGGACAGCCGUACCCACCUACCCCGAACCCUGUAACCACAGCUAUGCCUAACCACUAGGCCUAAGCAAAACCUUGUUCCCUGUGCACUAAAGAACCCAAGAACUCUAGUUCAAUCUCAUUCUCUCCUAACCCAGUACCCGUUCCACGCUAUAAGCGCCUUGGCGUGAGACGAUCUGACGAUCUUUCUGACCUAUUGAUCUACUAAGACAAUUCUACAGCUUCAAGAAGAGAAAAGCCAAUCCCCUAAUUUCAGGGCCAUGAAGGGAGAGCUUCUAAUUCCGCUUCGGACCAAUUCUUGAUUCUCGUACUUCUGAAAGCGAUCUAGCGGACUAUGCGGGGACUCAAGGGGAAUGCCCAACUAUUUACGUAAAUCAAUGAAGAAAUCAGCCACGCAAUAGGCCUUACCAGAGAGAGAUCUAGAUCUUAUCCUGCUGACUCCUCAAGACGCGCACCCCUAUUUAUUUAUUUAUGGAUGUUCAUUGUAUUAAGCUACGAAGGCCCGAAGCGAAGCGACUGGAAGGAUAGAAGGUACUCGGCUUUCUACCCACUCCGCGGUGCCAUAAGACAGGUCCGAAGGACAGACGGGUUAAUAUGGAUAGUCCUUCGGACUGACUCCGCCAUAAAAGAUAGGGGGGAUGAAUGAGUGCCAGGAUCUUGUGAGGCUUCGGAGAGAAUACGUCUUUCUAUGAUUCCUCUUCUUUCUGCCCUAUGAAGACCGAAACGAAUAAUCAAAAAAAGAAGCUCGUAGGGAUAGGGGAAUCCAAUUCAAUACCGUCCAUCCUUACUAAGGAUGCGCUUUCUUCGGCUGCUUCAGUGAAUGCACCAACCCCUACGAUUGAUUCUGUCUUUUCCCUUGCCCCGAACUGGUCUCGAUCGAUCCCAUCCCGAUAGCCUGUCAGAAAAUAAAUAGAGAAAGAAGAAAGUAAUUCAGUCUGAUCCCUUUUUCUGAUUCCCGAUCUGAAACAAAGACGAAUGAGAACAGUCAAUUCACUCAAAGAAAUCCCCAUGUUCUGAACACCGAUGUGUACUUUAAGAUGUCGCCCUAGGCUCACUGGUACGAGAGAAAAUGCUUUAGGAAGGGGGCCCCAUAAAUAAGGUGGAACUCCGGCCGGCGCACCCAGCUUAUUAAUUCCUUCCCGUCCCAUAACAAGAUUGAGUUCCAAUCUAAUCGAUAAUUCUUUGAGCCCUCCGUUAGGCGCAAAGAAUAUUGCGAGACCGGUCCUACGUCCGGAGUCCGCAGUGCCAAAGAAAGGUCCAGGGUCCGGAGUCCGCAGGAUUCUUAUCCGGAGUCCGGAGGAUUCUUAUCCGUAGGACUAUCCAUAUGGAAGUAGGACCAUCCGUAAUUAACCGAAGGAGGACCAUCCAUAUGGAAGGAAGGACUUCUUUCUCCAUUAGUUUUUCCAUAUUAACUUCUUCCUUUCUUAAGGCGAGCUAAAAGAUUCCUCUUCCAGCUUCCUCUUACUAAAUGUAGGUCGAGUUAUUGAAUUCCUACAUAUGAAUAAUUGGUCGUAUGAGCACCGAGUCAACUCAUUCAAUGAUCUAGGCCGACCCUUUACAGUCUCGGUCAAUUACAAUUACAUCGCCCCAAUUGUCUAUCGGUAAAUCGGACAAGAAAGAAGGUCAAUCCGGUCCUUUGUUAGCAGCUACUGAAGGUCAAUCUGGCCUAGCCCCUUAGUAUUGGUAGAGCAGGCUCUUUGUCGAGUUUCUUCCCGGACCCUCAAAAUAGAGUAUAGAGUGAGAGCUUAGCUUCUUUCCGAUCCAUUCCAAUGCUACCCCUUCAAGCCGCGCCUAUUUCCUAUUAAUUAAGUUCCGCCUUAAAGGCCCAAUUCCAAGUUGUGAAAGAUGGCCUUGACUUUCUUCUUAGUGUAUUAGAAUACAUAUUCCCAAAGAAGAGAGGAUAGAGAGUCCGCUUCCGCUCGAGUGUGAGAACUAGGGCCCACCGCUCCGUGGGUAAUGAGAUCUUUGGUCCCAUUGAGUCUUUGAAGGAUCAGUGGAAGCUCCUUCUUUAAUGAAAUAGGUGAAGCAUGAAGAGCUAAGCCACUGACGAACCCUUUCUGCGCGUAUGAGGUUUCUGGAGAUAUCUGCUCGGCGCACUUCCCGGUAGAAAAAGAGUCUAAGAAAGGAGCAAAGAAUUUGCGUGGAUGUAUAAGGAUCCCAUUUACCCCUUUCCUUUCUCUGGUUGAUAAGCUUGAUAAGAGAACCCUUGAAAUCAGAGGGAUUUAACCUAACCGUCUUCUUGACUAAGAAAUGAGUAUUGACCUCAUCAAAUGCAGAAAAAUGCCUUGAUUUUAGUAGCGAUAUGGUGUGCCCUCUACUUCUGCCCAGUCUCUAAUGCCUGCAGCAUUAAGGGAUGACUUAAGAUCUGGUCUCACAGCUGAACUUCCGAUCCUUAAUAGUCUCGACCCUUGUUCAUUGAUUCGAUCUUCUAAACUUUUAACCUGCUUAAGCAGCGGGGAGUUUCUUCCUCUUUUCUUUGACCGGAGUGAAAAUAGAGUAUUUAUUACGCACUAUUUCUAUGUUCUCGCUUACGUGUUCUGGAAAGUUCCCAAGAACGAAUGCAAAUUAAUAGGGCACAUUAAUAUACAUUAAAUAAUCAGCUGAAAGAACGGACGCAACAAGGACUACAGCAAGAACCGUGGCCCAUUAGGGUGGAGUUCAUUCUGGAAACCUUGGCUUUCUUCUUCCACACAAGGGUCAAAGAAUUUGAGUCCUGCCUUGAUUCGCGGGGUUUUGAAAGAAAAUGAGUUCAAGCUAGCAGGGGUCGGACCUUUCGCUGAGAGAACAACUGUGAUUCUGCAAAUCAAAUACCCGCUCUAUCGGCUUGCUGGGAUUAUGGAGGGGGAAUCCUUUCUUUAGUUAUCAUUAAUUUCUGAGAUAAAAGAGAGAGAAGGUUCCAACAAAGGAUGUGCCUUAUGUUCGCGUGCCCAAGCUCGUACUUCUUCAACAGGGAGACCCCUUUUUACAGGGAAUUAGAUUGAAGAGAUGAUAAUAAUUGAAUUAGAGCAUAUUUAGAGAAAAUAGUACUUUGAGAGUCCGAAGGACUGAUUUAUUCCACUUAAGUUAGGAUGAGAAGUUAGCGCUUAAAGUAGAUGAUCAAAGAGAACUAAAUGGGCGAUCAACGGCUAAAAAGAGAGAGUGAGAGCUUAGCUUCUUUAUCUACUCCAACUGCUUCCUCCACGGGGAGAGGUGGGGAUUGGAGAAGGGUCUUGAGCUGCUCGUAUGCGUCCUGAGAGAAAGUGCCAUUUCACGAGGUCGAAAGAGGAUAGACAAAGAUUUCCCAGGACAUAGAGAAAGAGGCUAUUAGCCGACGUCUCCUACGCCUUGCUUACCGAUCUCACGAACUACUUCUCCAUCCCGACGAUACGAUACAUCUAAUUACCGACGGAGCGGUAGAUGGGCCCUCAAAUAGCAGCUUUGUCCCACUCGAGCGGGUUAGGAGGUGGAGUCACUGUUGGGGAAUUCGACAGGAAUUCUCUUUUUAGGCGGAGCCUUUCGGUUGCAGUUCUUGUUCGCCUUCCCGCGUAGUGGGUACCGUAUGAGGUUUUAGUUGCCUUAGAAAAAAAAGAGGUAAGAAAGAUCAUGAUUUCGUAAGGCAAGGCCAGUUUGAUUCAUUCUUUGACUUUGAAUUAAUGGGUUUUAGUAGGGUCCUUUGUCCUCUUUGCGCUCCUUAAUAGUAAUAGUCGCUUGGCUUCGCAUCUUCAUAUUUGUAAUAGUCUUCGUCUAGUGGAAUUCUUUCGUUGCACUCCGUCCUCUUGACUCCUUUUCUCUCUUCUUUUCAUGCCUUUCGUAAACUCUUUCUUCAUUGAUUCAGUUUUUUUUCUCGCUAUUUCAUAAUGCACUCCUUCUUAUUGGAUAAGGAAGGAAUGAGCUUGAAACUCCUCGCAUAUUGAAUUGGGCCUCUACAUUAUUUGAUUUUGAGUCGAGUUAUUUCAUAACCUCCGGACCGUCCUCUUGACUCGUCUUUUCUCUUUCUAUUAUAUUUGAUAUUUGGUUUAGUGGAAUCUGACUCCGUAGGAGGCUUCGCAUCUUAAUGUUUUAUAUAGUCUUUUCAAAUCAUAAGAACCUUGCCGUAGGUCGUUUUCUCAAUCAUAAAGACCUCUUUACUCUAAAAGGUCGGAUCGUCCGCUGUACCCGCCCACUACGCGGUUGAAAGAUCAGUUUCUCUUUCUGUCGUUGUGGCAAAGCCAUUAUUCUAAAUAUGGUAUAUUCACGAGUAGGAUGAAAUACGGAUUGAUGAAAAAGUCAAUUCAGAGUUCUGGGACAAAGACUCCCAGAAACCGGAGGCAAGGUUAUUCCAUAGCGAGACCGGUCCGGAGGCUCAAAGGAUAUUGAGCGAUGGCGCAAAGAAUAUAUAGAAGGUGCGGGUUAUUCAAAUUUCAGGAUCAGGACUCUAAGAAUAGACCUCUCUUUCUCCGGAACACAAACUCAAACUAGAAGUGAGAAAUGUGAAUUUCUGGGAUAGGAGUUCUUCUUGAAUUGCUAUUUCCCGGCUUUUUUGCUUCUUUUUCAUAGUUUUUCUCAUAUUGAUAUUUAACGAAAAUAGAUCAAUUUUGACUGAUUUUUUGUCUUUUCUUGCUACUUCCUAUGGGCAAAACCUUGCAAAAUCAUGUAUUUCACUCCGUCAAAAAGACUAAAAUCGAUGUCUGAAAUCUCCCAUAUUCACCUCUUUCUUUUUCAUUCCCAUUUUUUUCUUCUUUCAUUAUCGUUAAUGAGUUCAUUCUUUCUCUCAACUCCUCUUGAGAUAAUUCUUUGAGCCUUCCUGAUGGAUAGUCCUUCGGACCUGUCUUAUGGAACCAACCUCUCCUUACAGUCGAGCCGCUUUCGCUCCUCUCCUCGAUCAAGAGGUUAUUAGUCUCAAAGGAAGAGGAAGUAAUAUAAUAGCUCGACGUUCAAGGGCACAUACUGAGUUUACGAAGAAGAGGAGAAAUGAGUUUACGAACGAUCUAGGGAAGAGUUGAAUCUUUUCUUGCUGUGGAAGUAGCUGAAUAAGGCUCUUUCUGAAGUGGUUGAAGGAGAGGUUCUAGCUUUUCUUGUUCCGGUUUCAUAAGUGGCAGUGGACAUUGGCAGCCUCAGCUGCUAUCUCUCUUGCCCAAGCAAGGCAAAUAUCAAGGCUUAAAACGAGAAAUCCUGGGAUUGUAAUGUCCCAGUUGGUUAGUCUCUAAUACUGUGAUUUGACUAUUUCAUGAUUCCACGUUCUUUAAGGAAGAAAGGUCAGACGGAGAAGUCAGAUAAUCAGCCGUAGCCCAUCCAAUAAGGAAGAACAGACUAAAAAGUCAGAUAAGACUUAAGGCGCGAAGCGACAACCUACUAAACCUACGGCAGAACUGGAGGCAAGGGGCGAAGAGAAGAUACCGUAGGUCAGACUAUUACAAAGAAGAAGAAGACGAUAAGACGAUCAGACGAUAUUGAAUGCUCCGAAUCGUCUUCCUUCCGGCUUUCCCUUCUUUUUUCUUCUGGGGAAUCUUCCCCCUUAUCUUUUUCCGGCUUUCUCGGAAAGAUCCCUUGAACUGUGACUGGGCUGCGCCUUUGAUUCUGAGUACUUUAUCUAAGAGUACUUUAUCUAAGAGUUCUCGAUCCGAGUAGAUCGUAGAUCGGAUCGGCUUUGCCUUUUCUUUUCCUUCUUUAUCCGGGGAAUCCUCCCCCUUGACUUUAUCCGGUAAAUUCCCCUUGACUGACUUAGGGGCCGAGAGGUACUAGCUCGGUAUCGUCAUUCCCUUCUUCGAGAUCUACGAUCGGUAUCGGCUUUGCCUUUUCUUUUCCUUCUUUAUCCGGGAAAUUGUCCUUGACUUAGGGGCCUUCCGGCCUCGACUCCUUCUUCUUCUUUAUGCUGUGGGGAAACCUUCCCCUUACCUUUUUCUUCUGGGGAAUUCCCCUUUACCUAGGGGCCUUUAGGCCUCCUUCCCUUCUUUUUCCUCUGGAGAAACCUUCCCCUUAUAGUAGUUCCCUUCUUUUUCCUCUCUCAAAUUCUUUGAUCCUCCCCUUUCAAUCAAGGAAGUUGCCGAUAGGCCUCGACUCCUUCCCUUCUUUCUCCUCUGGGGGAAUCCUCCCCCUUGACUUUAUCCGGCUUUCUCUUUUGUCUUCCUUCCGGCCGGCGGCCUUUGCCUUAGUUCGUGGUAGAUCCGAGGAGAUCGGAUCGGCUUUGCCUUUUGUCUUCCCCCUUAUCUUUAUGCUGUGGGGAAACCUUCCCCUUAUAGUAGUUCCCUUCUGUAUCCUGUGGGGAAUGCUCCCCUUUCAAUCAAGGAAGUUUCCGAUAGGCACUGAAGGAAAGUCAAGGCCGAUAGGCUAAGCUCUUGACUCAUUCAUUCCAUAUUACUAGAACCCAGAAGACGAUUCCGUCUGAUCGUCUUCUUUCCUCAAUAUUCUUUGAACCUGAUUUUGCUUUAUUCUUUGGGGAAUCUUCCCCCUUAAAUAACUAAAGUCCGAUAGGUACCUUCUUUAUUUCAAUCAAGGAAGUUGCCGAUAGGCACUCAAGGAAAGGGCCUUUAGGCCGAGAGUCGGCUUUGCCUUUUGUCUUCCUUCUUUCCGGCUUUGCCUUAUCUUAUUAUAUUAGUUCGUGGUAGAUCCGAGGAGAUCGGAUCGGCUUUGCCCUUUUGUCUUCCUUCAGUGAACAGGAAAGUGCUGGAGUUGUACGUAUCUACUGCCUUGCCCACUUGUUCAGGGGAUCGGCCCAGGCUAGAAGAAUGAUCCUAGAGCGUGGCGCCUCGAAAACAAACUUUUUGUGAAUAUCUCAUCAGCUCCGUCAUGAAAAAUCAUGAAAGGAGGCGCCAUUACGGUUCCUCAAGCGGAGAGCGCGCCCCGGGAGUCUAACCCGGUCGUCUCGCCAAGAUAAGAGAGUACGGCGCCGUGCAAGGAUUUACCUCUUCUCUUUGCCCUUCCUCUCCAUCUUGUUUCUCACCUGACCUUGCAUAGUUUCGAUCUGUCUGCAAGAACCCGAUUAGCUGAUUGAUUCUUCGUUUGUAUGAGUGCGGGACGCUCCAUCAAUUCACCAACAGAAAUAAGGAGCCCCCAUACAAUCAAUAGUCGAUACGGGCUUUCGUCCCGUAAAGCGCAUGGGGCACGUUCUAGGAUGGAGGAUGGGGUUCUUCUAGGUACGUAGCAAUCCAUACUUUCUACUAUUCACUGAUUCGUUCUUGCCGAAAGAAGGACGUACCGACCUCACUUCCUUCCGACAAGGGCUCUACCUCUACUUCUGAAACUCAAAACGUCGGACCUUGGUCGCUUUAUACAGAGGAUCCCAGAGGGCUUGAUUGCUCAAGAGCCGUAGGAUUUCCCUCCCUGGUACCCAUGCUAAGGUGUUCUUAGAAAUUCUCCUUACAAGAGAUUCCGUACAAGUGUAAGUUACUUUUCUAAGAGGAACCUUAACUAUGAUGCGGAUUCAAUUGGCAUCUCCCUGCUCUAUGGUCUUUACACGACCGAGUCUAAAUGUCCCCCUCCCAGUACCUAUUACCUUCAGUCCCAGGGCUUCGGAUUUUGAACUGCGUCACCUACGUCAAUAUUCUUUGAACCUUGGUACUACGAUCGGAGAUCAGAUCAAAAAGGCUCUUUUCCGGCUUUCUCUUUUCUGUCCUCCUUCCGGCCGGCCUCAAUAUUCUUUGAACCUUCUUUAUCCGUGGAAUCUUCCUUUUCUGCCUUUCCCGCUCCGUGGGCGUAGUUCGUGGUAGAUCCGAGGAGAUCGGAGAUCGGAUCCUAUCGCCUUUCCCUUUUGUCUUCCGAGAGUCGGCUUUGCCUUUUCUGUCUUCCUUCCGGCUUUCCCUUUUCUUUUCCUUCUUCGAAAUAUUCUUUGACCCUGAAAGUAGUUCCCUUCUGAGAGAUCGGAUCGGAGAUCGGAUAGGUACCUCCGUUAAAUCAAGGAAAGUCAAGGCCUUCCGGCCUCGAGUCCUUCCCUUCUUUCUUCCCUAGAUCCGAGGAGAUCGGAGAUCGGAUCGGUAUCCGCUUUCCCUUUUGUCUUCCUUCCGGCCGGCCGGCUUUCCCGCUCCGUGGGCGUAGUUCGUGGUAGAUCCGAGGAGAUCGGAGAUCGGAUCCUAUCUGCUUUCUCUUUUGUCUUCCUUCCGGCUUUGCCUUACCCUGAGUUCGUGGUACCCUUUAUUUCAUUUAGGGUCCGAGAGUCGGCUUUGCCUUCUUCUCGAUUCAUUGACUCGGAUUCAACCUUCAAACUUGCUGGCUGUCUUCCUUCUUUAUCCUGUGGGGAAUCCUCCCCCUUGACUUUAUCCGAAGAAUUCCCCUUUACCUAGGGGCCUUUAGGCCUCCUUCCCUUCUGAGAGAUCGUAGAUCGGAUCGGCUUUGCCUUUUGUCUUCCUUGAGAGUAGGCUUUCCCUUUUUCAUAGAGUUCGUGGUACCCUUUAGUUAGGGGCCCUCCGGCCGAGAGUCUGCUUUCCCUUUUUUUUCUUUUCCUUCUUCGGGGAAUUAAGUAGUUCCCUUCUUUAUCCUCUAGGGAAUCUGAAAUCAAGGAGGUUGCCGAUAGGGACCGAACCUAUUCCUUCCCCUUACCUUAAAUCAAGGAAAGUCAAGGCCUUUAGGCCGAGAGGGACUAGCUCGGUAUCGGCUUUGCCUUCUUCGAGAUCGGAGAUCGGAUAGGCACUUUCAAUCAAGGAAAGUCAAGGCCUUUAGGCCGAGAGUAGGCUUUGCCUGAUUUAUCCCUUUAUCCUGUGGGGAAUCCUCCCCCUGACCUUGAAAGGAAAGUCAAGGCCUUUAGUUUAGGCCGAGAGUGAGAGUAGUUCCCUUCUGAGAGAUCGGAUCGGAGAUCGGAUAGGAUGCCUGUCUUCCUUCCUUCCGAGAGUCGGCUUUGCCUUCCGGCCGGCUUUGCCUUUUUCAGAGAGUUCGUGGUACCCGGUCCGAGAGUCUGCUUUCCCUUCUGAGAGAUCGGAGAUCGGAUCGUAGAUCGGAUGCCUGUCUUCCUUCUUUCUCCUGUGGGGAAUCCUUCCCCCUUAAAUAAGUAAAGUAAAGGCCUUUAGGGACCGAACCUAUUCCUUAGCCUUAAGUCAAGGCCUUUAGGCCGAGACUCCUUCCCUUCUUCCUUCCCUAGAGGAGAUCGGAUAGGGACCUUAAAGAAAUAAAGGAAACUAAAGGCCUUUAGGCCUUGAGUCUGCUUUCCCGCUCCGUGGGCUUAGUUCAUGGUAGAUCCGAGGAGAUCGCAGAUCGGAUCGGCCCUUUUGUCUUCCUGAGAGAGUCGGCUUUGCCUUUUUCAGAGAGUUCGUGGUACCCCUUAAAUCAAGGCCUUUAGGCCGAGAGUCUGCUUUCCCUUUUCUUUUCCUUCUUUAUCCUGUGGGGAAUGCUCCCCCUUAAAUAAAGGAAGUUAAGAUAGGCAUCUCCUUUAAAUCAAUGAAAGUCAAGGCCGAUAGGCCGAGAGUCCUUCCCUUCUUCGAGAUCUACGAUCGUAUAGGUACCUCCUUUAAAUCAAGGAAGUUAAGAUAGGCACUCAAGGAAAGGAAAGUCAAGGGUAAAGGCCUUCCGGCCUCGAGUCCUUCCCUUCUUCCCUAGAUCCGAGGAGAUGAGAUCGCAGAUCGGAUCGGUGUCUUCCUUCCGACCGAAAGUCGUCUUUGCCUUUUGUCUUCCUUCUUUCCGGCUUUGCUUUCUUCGAGAUCGGAGAUCGGAUAGGGACCUCCUUUAUCUUCUGGGGAAUCUUCUCCUUAUCUUUUUCCGGAAAAUUCCCCUUAACUUAACUUAGGGGCCGAUAGGCACCUUAAAGCAAUCAAGGAAAGGUUCUACCUUUACUUUAGAGAGGUACUAGCUCGGUAUCGUCUUUUCCUUCUGUAUCCUGUGUGUGGGGAAGAUUCCCCCUUAUCUUUCAUAGGGGAAUUCCCCUUUACUUAGGGGCCUUCCGGCCGAGACUCCUUCCCUUCUUCGAGAUCGUAGAUCGGUAUCGUCUUUCCCUUCUUUUUCUGUAUCCUUUGGGGAAGAUUCCCCUUAAAUCAAGGAAGUUGCCGAUAGGCACCGCUCCGUGGGGGAUUCCUUCCCCUUUGCCGAGAGUCCUUCCGUCCGAGAGUGGGGAAUCCCUGAGAUCGGAGAUCGGAUCCUAUCGUCUUUGCCUUUUGUCUUCCUUCCGGCCGGCCCUUCCCUUUUUCAGAGAGUUGUGGUACCCGGCCGAUAGGGCCCGGGAAACCUUCCCCUAUUUAGGUUCCGAGAGGGACCGACUUUGCUUUGCCUUUUCUUUUCCUUCUUUAUCUGUGGAAUCUACGAUACCCAAAGGCCUUCCGGCCGAGAGUGGGGAAUCCCUGAGAUCGGAGAUCGGAUCCUAUCUGCUUUCUCUUUUGUCUUCCGAGAGUAGGCUUUCCCUUACCGCUCCGUGGGUUCGUGGUACCCGGGCCGAUAGGCCGAGAGUGAGAGUAGUUCCCUUCCUUAUCUGGGGAAUCCCCCUUUUCCGGCUUUGCCUUACCCGCUCCGUGGGUUCGUGGUACCCGGGCCGAGAGUGGGCUUUGCCUUCAGAGAGAUCGGAUCGUAGAUCGGAUCGGAUGGCUGUCUUCUUUCUCCUCGGAUGGCUGUCUUCUUUCUCCUGUGGGGAAUCUUCCCCCUUAUCUUAUCUUUAUCCGGGAAACCUCUUCCCCUUAGAGUAGUUCCCUUCUUUCUCCUGUGGGGAAUCCUCCCCUUUAAGGAAGUUUCCGAAGAAAUAAAGUCAAGUCAAGCAAGGCCGAUAGGCCGAGAGUGAGAGUAGUUCCCUUCUUCCCUAGAUCCGAGGAGAUCGUAGAUCGGAUCGGUCUCUUCCUUCCUUCCGGCCGGCUUAGGAGAUUUCCUGGAAAAAGGAUGGGAUUUGAUCAAAUGGUCUUGAUUUUGACUUCGGAGACGAUAGGCAGGCAGGGCAGAAAGUAGAAGAUACAUUUUUUCUUGCGCGAGAUCCAGCAAAGAAAGAAAGAGCCGGAACAGAUCGAAGAACGAGAAUCUUCCACCUCUUUCAACCGCUCUCUCCUUGCCCGGAAUGAUACCCGAUACGCAACAUCUCUUUCUAACUUUCCCCUACGAACUUCUUGGAACUCAUACAUAGCUUGACUAAGAGAAUCUAAAGUAAAGGCUUGCCGCUCCUUCGACUGAUUGAAAGCAUCGGAUCUCAGGUUCUCUAUUGCACUCCCUAAAUAGGGUUCGAAGAAGGGAGACUAGAGAGGAGAGGGUCAAAGUUCGGUUAAUUACGGAAAGUCCGACUUCGGUUAAUUACGGAUGGUCCUACUUCGGUUAAUUACGGAUGGUCCUACUUCCAUAUGGAUAGUCCUACUUCGGUUAAUUACGGAUGGUCCUACUUCCAUAUGGAUAGUCCUACGGAUAAGAAUCCUCCGGACCCUGGACCUUUCUUUCUUUAAUGGAUAGUCCUACGGAUAAAUCCUGCGGACUGCGGACUCCGGACUACGGAUAAAUCCUGCGGACUGCGGACCCUGGACCUUUCUUUGAUGGUGCGAAGGCGCAAAGAAUAUUGCGGUUUGGAGGAGAGGCUCAAUGUAAUAUGAGUUGAGGCGCAUGAAAUUCAGAGGUGCAAAGAAUAUUGCGAAAAGAGCGGUCGAAGAACUUAUUCUACAGAAAGAGCAGCCACAUCGUCUGGCCCAAGAGCCUACUUAAAUAAAAGAGGGUGAGGUCCCCAGGUGGUUCAUCGACUGAUUCCUCCCCCGCCCGGGCCUUUCUGACUCUUUCUUAUUCCGAAACUGAGACAGAUGAAAGGUGCCACUUCUUCCCCCUCUAAUUCUGCCUUUGAAUUCCCCAAUGAUCCUUGUUUUGAUUCAUUCAUGUGAGUGGCAGCAAGAAAAAGAGAGGCAAAUAACCGUAAUUAAGAGUCACAAACGAGUUCAGCUACCUUUCCUACCCCUCCAGAUCGAUCCCCCCAAAAACAAAGGGCUAGAUAAUAUUCUUUGCGCCUUCUGACUAUUCAUCCUAUUUCUUUAGGAGGACUCAUAUAAGAAUGUGGCCCCACUCCUAGGUUAGCGAGAAGGAAUCCGAAUCUCUGGAUUAGUGGAUUAAGAGCCAUGUUCGCUCGGUAGCUGCAGUGGUGGUUGAUGUCUCAUCCCUUCUUUCAGGUUUCGCUUCAUCGGCUGAGCCAGCUCUCGUCCUUUAGCUGGACAAACCUUCUUUCUUUCAUUGAAUUCCCCACGAAUACCGUGAAAAGGCAUGAAAACGUAAACCACUGAACUUAGUUCGCUAAGAGAAAGCCGUCAGUCCCAUAACAUGAAACUUAAGGAAAGAAUGCCCAACGGAGUCUUUCAUUUAAGCUAUUUCUUUGGUUCGGUAUUGAAUAACUAAAAGCGAGAGUUCUGGUUGGGGAAGAGUGGACGCGCCCUCAUUUAAGAGAAUUGGACGCCCCGCCCUGGCAAUAAUAGAGUCAGCGAAGCAUCGGGUAAGGGGACUCAGAUGAGACAGCCGCUGUGUCUCUUGAAGUACCACUUCUUUGAAUGCGACUAUGGGUUCAAUUCAUUCACGUGGAAUCGAGUCAAAUAACAGAAAUAGAGACUAAGCGGAGUACAUAAAUACGCCUUGAAUGCGGCCUUACGAUCUGCCCCAAGAUAAGAAGCAACUGAAGAAAGAGGAGGACAAGAAAAGCAACUCCAACUCCCACCGGACCACGAUACUUUUCAUUGACUUCUCUUCCCAACCGCUACGUGGGGUUAAAGAAAGAAUUCCUCUCCAAAGAAAAAUCGAGCCCUCACGCACCCGUCAGAAAUGGGAUAAAAUAGAUGGGAGAUAAAGGUGAUAAGAGCUCUAUGGGGAAAGAAGAAACCUACUCGAGCCGAGAUAGGAUGAGGCGCAACAAGAUUUAGUUCCAUUAAUCAGUCAGAAAGACAUUCUUUCUUUUUGUUAGGCGCAAAGUAAGCCCUUCUAAUUCCGGAGGAUUUAUCCGUAGGACUAUCCAUUAGGAGAGCUGAAAAGAAUAUAGUAGCAAGAAAUCAUGAAAAAUCAGUCAAUAAAGAAUAGACCCGUAUUUCUCCGGACCAGAAACUCAAAGUUUGAACAAACUAUGUGAAUUUCGAAAAUCAAAUAGGACAAUGCCUUGCAAUUUCCCGGCUUUUUUGCUUCUAAAUAGGACUUUUUCGACUUUUCUUAUCUAACGAAAAUAGAUCAAAAAUGACUGAUUUUUCAUGAUUUCUUGCUACUAUUUCUUUUCAGCUCUCCUUAUCAGUCGAGCCCAAAACCUAGCAAAAUCUUGUAUUUCCCUCCGUAAAAACAAGGUUAUGAAAUCCGAAUUAUUCUUGAAUUCGAGUUAAUGAGUGAAUUAUUCUUUUCUUUGAUUGACUUUGAACAGGUCCUUCGGCUAGGCGCAAAGUUCGGUUAAUUACGGAUGGUCCUACUUCGGUUAAUUACGGAUGGUCCUACUUCCAUAUGGAUAGUCCUACGGAUAAGAAUCCUCCGGACUCCGGACUACGGAUAAAUCCUGCGGACUCCGGACGUAGGACUACUUCGGUUAAUUACGGAUGGUCCUACGGAUAAAUCACCUGGACCUUUCUUUGGCCCUGCGGACGUAGGACCCUGGACCUUUCUUUGGCACUCCGGACUGGAUCUUCUAGGAGUUUUCUACCUUUCAAUUCUUGACUAUCAAAAGACCUACGGCAAGGGGUUGAUGAUGACGAAGACUAUGUAAAAGAUUAGUAUGCGAAGCCAAGCGACUGUAUAUAAUCUAAAAAGAAAGGACUCCCUAGGACUUAGGUCUUUAUGAUUUAGAAGACUAUCAUUUAAGAGGAGCGCAAUUCAAUAUUCUUUGAACCUUCGGAAAAGAUGAACCGAAAAUCGAUUAGAUUAUGCUGAAGGAGGGAGCGCAAAGAGGACGACGGACUCCGGACCGGCUGGCCAGCCAAUAAGUUGCUUUCGAAAAGAAUAAGUUGCUUUGUCUUAGAAUAGGUUGAAUGAGAAAUUGAACUAGAAAUCUUUGAUGAACAAAUAGCGUAAGUAAUAGCAGAAAACCUACGGAAUAUACUCGUCCUCCGCGGUAGUGGUUGCGAAGAAUUCAGAUCCUUUCCUUACUUUAGAACGCCAGCGCCCAAGAAGCCUUUAUUUACUAAGGCUGGUCCACGUAUGGUUAGUACAAACCUCUUGAGAAGAAGCUGAUCUCGGAACUUUCCAUGAACUAUGACGGUAGACAAAGCUUUGUAUCUCGAUCUUCUUCUUCUCUUUCAAAAGAAAACCCUCUUCCAGUAUAUAAUAGCUAUUCAUACUCAUCUGGAUCUUUGUUUUUGGGUCCUUUUUAUUUGACUAUUCAUCAUAUUUUCUUGCAGACGAAGUCCUUAAAGAUGAACCGAAAAUCUUCUUUGAGCCUUCCUGAUGGAUAGUCCUUCGGACCUGUCUUAUGGGGCCUCAGUAGCUUAAUUCUGAAAAAUCCAUAUUAGCCUUCUCACAUUCCCUAAUGGAUAGUCCUUCGGACCAGUCAAUUAAUCCGUGGGCUUACUCAGUCGUCUCGCAAUAUUCUUUGCGCCUUUGUUUUUGGACUGAUUUAUACCUCAGGACUUUCUCAAGCUUAACUUCUUCUUCCAAAAUAUAUGAUAUGGAAAGGUGCCAAAGUGCUGGAUUUCUUGCGCUGACAUGUAUCACACUCUGAAACGUACUGCUUAAUCAAGUUAAGAAUUCCUCGCCAAUACAACUCAAAGGAAAUUCCUUUAUAGGUCCGUAAGUACCCGUCCCCCAAGCACCGAGUCAUGAUAAGUAUUAAGGAUAGUCGGAAUUAGGGAAGACUGGGCUGAGAAUAGCAAUCUGUCCUUGUACAGUGCCAUUAAUCACUGAGAAAUGCGGAUGUCUAUCGGUAUUGGCUUCUAGAUCUGACUGACCCUAUCUCUUUGAGGUACUCAUCAGCACUAACCUCACUGCUCACGAUGUCGACAUCAAAAAUGGCGGGAGCUCUUAGGUUGGCCAAUUGCACGUGGGGAGGCAUACGGGAUAGAGCAUCCGCGAAUUCUGAGGCCCCGGUUUGUACUGCACUUCAAAAUCAUAUCCAAGGAGCUUGGACACCCACAUCUGGUACUCCGGCUGUAUGACCUUUUGCUCCACAAUCUAUUUAAGGGACUGCUGGUCCGUUCUCACUAUCAAUCUCCGGCCCAAGAGAUAAGAUCGCCAACGCUGGAUCGCCAUUACACCAUUAGUUCUCUUUCAUAAGCGGACUUAGCUUGAGCGCGGGGUGAGAGAACCUUGCUGAAAAAAGGGUCUCUGUCCUUGGGUUAAUACUGCCCCCACUCCUCUUCGUUCCUGAGGCAUCAGUCUCCAUAAUCAAAGGAUUAGUUCAAUCGGGUAAGGCUAAAAGGCGUAGUCUUACCAUGGCUCCUUUUAACUGCUCGAAGGCUUCUACAGAAUCUGAAGUCCAGAUAAAAGCAUCAGUACCGGUCAUCCUGUGCAGAGGUUGUGCUAUUCUCCCAUAAUCAACUAGAAACCUGCGGUAGUAACUCGUCAAUCCUAAGAAACUUCGUAACUCACGGACUGUGGUAGGUUGGGGCCAUUCUUUUAUCGCCCGCACCUUUUCUGGAUCGGCUUCAACCCCUUCUUUAGAUUAGAUACCCAAUGCCCCAAAUACUCUAGACGGCCUUGAGCAAAACGAGACUGAUGAAAGUUGAGAAUGAGACCAGCGAAGUACAAUGAAAAGACUAAAGUCAAAUCUUGAAUGUGGGAUUCGAAAUCUGGGCUGUAGAUGACAAAGAAUACUAAUCAAAAAAAAGGCCUUAAGAUCAUUCAUCAAAGAUUGAAAGGUUGCUGGUGCUCAGACCAAAGGGCAUCACCAAGAAUUCGUAAUGCCCCUCAUGCGUGCGGAAGGCUGUUUUCGCUAUGUCUGCCUCAUGGACCCUUAUUUGGUGGUAACACCCGAGCGCAGGUCUCAUUUUGUGCAAAUUUUUGCUCAUCCAGAAAUGGAAGAAAGAAAGGGGAUUGGAAAUUGAGGAGAAAUUGUCAACUCAUUUAGCGCUCGAUAGUCAAAAAGGCCAACUCCCAUCCUUUUUCCUGACUAAUAGAACCGGGCUGGCAUAAGGUCCAUGGCUGGGACGGUCCCGCUUGCAGCAUUUCCGCCACUAACCUCUCAAUCUCAUCCUUUUUCUCUCUUGAGUAAGGCUCGAGGGAGUUUACGGACGAGAGGAGCGAAGCGGCUCAUUUCAUUCCUGAGAUCGAUGAUCUCCUUCUUGGGGGUAGCUGAUCAGGUCUUUCGAAGACAUCUAAGAACCUCGCGAUCAACUCCUGUAUCGGACUCUCCUCGUCCUUCUUAGACCUCUCCCCUUGCUCUUCUACCAUCUCUAACUCCGCUGUAAUCGUCCGUAAUUCCAACCUUCACCCUAGGCGCAAAGCUCAAAUACUUUGAUCCUUUGAACCUCCGUUAUUCAUAUGGAUAGUCCUACUUCGGUUAAUUACGGAUGGUCCUACGGAUAAAUCCUCCGGACUCCGGAUAAGAAUCCUGCGGACUCCGGACGUAGGACCUGUCUUUAUCAGGAGCGUAGCGAACAGCCGUCAACUACUUGAUAGUUAUCCUAUCUUUCUCCUACGCGGAAUCCAGAAUAGACCCGUCAGUAUCCGGACCAUAAACUCAAACAAGAAUCAAACUAUGUGAAUUUCUGGGAUAGGAGUUCUUCUUUCAUUGCAAUUUCCCGGCUUUUUUGCUUCUAAAUAGGACUUUUUCUCAUCUUGAUAUUCUACGAUAAUUGUCUAAUUUUGACUGAUUUUUUGUCUUUUCUUGCUACUUCCCUAUGGGCAAAACCUAGCAAAAUCAUGUAUUUCCCUCCGUAAAAACAAGGUGAUUCAAUCCUAAUUAUUCUUUCAUUCGAGUUAAUGAGUGAAUUAUUCUUUUCUUUGAUUGACUUUUCCGCAAGAUUCUUUGCGCCUUUUCCUUUUGGAUGAAUUUGAAUCUCUCGUCUGAAGACUCUCGUCUGAAGACAUGAAAGACGAUUUCUUUCUAUUCUCAUAUUUUUCUGAUUCUAUGAGAAGGUCAAUCGGUAAAGAGGAAUAUCAUAACUAAUGAGUCACUAGCUAGCCCUUUAAUCUCACUAUUUCCUCUGCGAGAAGAGCGGCUUUCUAUCUAACCUCUGACAAUCCCCGAACCCCGCUCCGCUUCUUUGCGCUCCGUGGGCCUCUUUCUUUAGACAUCUGUGGGAGGAUUAAAGGAUGAGAGAUCCACGAUCCUGGUGAUAUGAUAGCAGAAUAUACCUACCAUCUAUUCAAGUUACCACGUCCCUUGAUUCAUUCCUUCAACCCGGGGCCCCUCGUAAACUCACUUUUUCUAUUCAAAGCGGUGGGCCUGCGAUCCUAAGCGGAAAUCUUCGUCAAUAUUCUUUGAGCCUCUUGUUGACUUUCCGAUGUGAGCAUGAGAAUGGGGAAUGAAUGAAAUGAGAUUGAUGAGUGAAUUAAGAAGGAGAAGACCAAAGGCGAGAGCCACGGCCUGGUCUGAAACCGGCCGGAAGAAGGAGAAGAAAAAGCAUGUACAGCAGCGCGGACUCUCUUCAAUCAACUCGUAUUAUUCCAUUCCCGAAGGCUUUCUUCCUCCCUCUCGAUCCUAUACCCCAUUCCUAAUAGAACCCCGAUAUGAAACUACGAGGACACACCCGACUGGGCCAUAUGGCCAAUUAUUUUCAGAAGAAAGCAAAGCCAAAGAGACCUGCUUUUAAUGCUCGACGUCGACACGGAGGGCGUACUUGAGUACUGGACGAACAAACUAUAUAACUACCCCUUUUUAGUGCGCGAAGCCGAAGCCUCCGAAACUGAGAUAGAGGGCGAGAUUUUCCUAGGAUUUCCUCAUGAGCAUGACCCUUACUUGCAAGAAUCCACGAUAGACUAAUCAUUUUUGGAAUAUUUCCUCUUGCAGUUGAUUUGAUUUUCCGGUUCAAAAAUCAUGUAUAUUAUCAAUCCGACAUCUUGAUCGAUUUAAUCCCACAUCUGGAUCUCUUAAUCGAUCUGUCUUAAUCGAUUUCAUCCUAUACUUCUUGUUAGGUACCCCAUAUUAGCGGUAGCUGUAACCUCUUUCCUAAUCGAUUUGUUCUCUCUCUUAAUCGAUCUAGCUGUCUCUUUCCUAAUCGAUCUGUCCUAAUCGAUCUGUCUUAUCUUUCCUACUCCCUUGUUAAUCGAGAAAGCUAUGUAUGCUUUAUCUCCUUUCUUAAUCGAUUGUAUUUAUCUUAAUGGAUCUCUUUCUCCCUAAUCGAUCUGUCUUCUCAUAUUACCGCAAUAUUCUUUGCGCCUUUCUUUCUUUAAAAAGAGAAUUAUCUUACUUAAUGGAAUUCUCUGAAUCGCUUGUACUGGGGACGCUCAGAGGAGAGGAAAGGAAGAAAGAAGCUAGCUAUCGGAAACGAAAGAAUUCUUAGGACUGAUUUAUGAACAGACAGAAUUCUAUUGAUUUAGCGCCACGCUGGCCUCUUUAUGUGACUCAUUCCGAUACGGGAAGGAUCGCCUAUAGGCUCUCUCUCAUAUCUACCCGAGACAGUUGUUCCACUCCGGCUACCCUCAAGAGCGGCUUAGCACCGCAGAGUGGGAAGGGGAGCGGCUUAUCGCACCUUGUUUUCUCUUUCUUUAGCAGCUUUCGUCAUAGGCUUUCUUCUAAAUAGUAGUUUGAAGCCUAUCCUUUCUUCUUUUCGUACUUCAUCGAUCUUUCUUCUUAUGGCUUUCAUAAGUAGUAGUUUCAUAAAGAGCGAUGGGCGAAUACCUGAGACAGGAUAGACGAGAGAUACCCUUUGAACCUCAGAUGGCCCUUUCUUCCGAUUUUGCUUGAAAAGAUGUGAAUGAAUGUCAACCUUUGAAUGUGAUUCGAAUGAAAGCAAGGCUUUGGGCAAUUCAAAGACUUUCAGAUAAAUAGGCCUCGCUAGCUAGAGGUUCAAGGGCUUUCUACUAAACUCAGGCAAGAGCAACUUCAGCAAGAACUUCUGAAAGGCAUCAAAAUUCCAUUCUCCUUUCAGUUGAUCCUAUUCCAAAGACGCUUCGGGUCGAGAUUCGUCAACUCGGCUGGUGGUCUGUGACGCUUUCUUUCUUCCUCAACUGAGGAAUGCUACACAGAAUUCCUAUCUUCAGGGGACUCUAUCUUUGUUCUUGUCCCACGCGGACCUCGCUUCGUACUGGGAAUCUUGUCUCAUAUACUUUGAAUAAUAAAGAAGACGAGGGCUAGCAACUUCCCUUGAAGCAGCAACUUCCACUGCGCCUCCUUCCUCUUCCGAAACCUCUCACAGCUUUCGCUUCGCUAGGCUUGAUUUUGAGUGGAAUUGGAAUUCAAAUCAGUGGAAAGCGACAGCUUUUAUGUCCUUAGAUUCAACUACGGAGGAUGAGUAGGAGCAGUCUGAUCUUCUUCUUCCCGCUCCCUCCUCAGGCGCAAAGAAUCUUGCCUUUUCCGUCAUAUUAGCUUUCCAUUUGAAUUCCACUCAAAGUUGCAGGCGAAGGCGCAAUGAAAUAUGCGUGGAACUCAAUCUUGCUUGUUAUGGGACUGAUUUAUGGAACUGAAGCUGGUCGAGCCUAAUCCUCUUGGGCGAGACUCCUAUUGAUUGAGAUCCGUGCCUGCCUUUCGAUCCUUCCCCCUACUCUUAUGGCUUUCCGUUAGCGCUUGAGGUCCUUAGUGAGGUCUAAGCAAGAGAAGAAAGAAUGAACUAUAUCAUCCCCUGGAAAAGGUGCUCAGCCACUCUACGUUGAGGAAGAAAGGAGAGGAUCAAAGAAUUUGAGACUGAAAGGAGAGGAGUUAGGUGAGACCAUAGGGAAGAGGACAAAUCGGUGAGGCCAAAGGCCCACGUAGCGGUUGUGUCCGCUUGAACCAGUAGCUUUUUGUAGAAGAAGUUGCUUCUUUUUCUGCUAUCUGCCCAUGUGUAAUGAGAUACCCUUUUUCAAGGUGAAAGCGACCGGAUAAAUCGCAUGAUUCAGUACUCAAAUAGAGAGAAGGCAGAUUGUCCCCACUUCCAUCCACCAUUCGUCCAACUAGUCCUAGGCGGGUGGUUAGGAAGCAGAACACUGUUUAGGAAGCAAGUCUUGUAGGGGUAGAGACCCAUGCGAGAUCCACACCCGUGAAGGAAAGAAGGGCGAAUCAGGUUCCAUCCACAGCUCGAGAAAAGGAAGAGACCACCCACCGGGCAGUCCGAGGUUGAAGUUAGUCUUCUGGCUGGAAAUAAAGAAGGGGCUUGACCGAGUGAAAGAGGGCAUAAGUCUCACUGAGUCAAACCCGCAUGAAAAGAGUUCAAAAAAAUCUGGUCGAUUCCCUAUUCCGGACUCAUCUUCCUCCUUUAUUUACUACCUCUCUCUUCCUUCGGAACCUGCUCGACCCCCACGGAUAAGAUAAUUACUGAAAAAGAAAUAAGUAGCAUUCUUCUUUCGACUCCUUUUCAUCCUUGUUCAUAGGAUUUCGAAAUCAUAAAUACGAAAGAAUGAAUCGGAUAUUGGCGGUGCGUGCGCAUUUUGAUAUAGCUUCCGUGUUCUCAGCCUAAGGCGAGGCUCGACUGAAAGGAGAGUGAGAGCUUCUCGAAACUAAGCUACUGCAGCAAGAACGUCUGCCUACCUGCCUGCUGGUCUCGCCUUUGAAAAAGAGUUCUCUCAUAGUGAGAGUGAAAAGAAGAGUAGGAGUUAGAGACAAAUAAGGAUGCCUUGGUCCGUCUUCUUGCGCGUCCAGCGCAGCCUUCUCGUUCAGCAUUCUUCCUAAUCUCCUCUAAAUAGGGAAUCGAAUUUCAUCUAAAAGAUUAUGACAUGCCAAACCCCAAACUCAGAGUAUAAUGGAAGAAAUCUAUUCCAUGAUCAGACGGAGUGGCCCUAAACGGGGUUCAAGGCCCUUGAUUGGGAUUCACCUGCUCUGCUGCCAACCACACCUGGAAAUGGUGUGAUAGGUUCAAAGAAUAUUGACGCCCACGAGGCGUAAUAAGGGCCUCAAUGAACAAGAGGUUGACCACACAUGAAGGUCAGAAAAUGUUUCACCAUCUACUACGGUUGAAGAGAAAAGAGAUUGAAACCUAGUGUGAGGUCGACGAUCGAUUUGGCCAUGACGGGACCCGCGGCCAUCAUACUUUGAAUAAUUUGAAUAGGCCACCGAUUGCUUGCACUCUUGAAAGGCAGUCCUUUAAUGGGGAAUCAGUCUGGUGAUAGGGCCCAUUUGCUUAAAGGUUCCAUCCAUUGGGAUAGACCGCAGAAGGUCCAUUGCCCAAGGGUGGACCGGGAACAAGAGUCGUUGUCUAAGAUAGUUACCUAUGGCAAAGAUAGGACGUUUUCCCGCGCCUUCGAAGGUUUGGGCAAGUCUACCUCGUUCAGGUAUAUUAGUUGGAUUAUUACCGAGGGGGUCUCUGAUCAUCCCUAAGGAAAGACUCUCAACUAGGACCUAAACCCAAGUGGUAAUGGAGGGUAGCUCGAGACACAUAUUGAUCCACAAGGGAUCGGUCAAAGGCAAAUAGCCGAUAACCCGGCCAAAAGACCCGGUGUCUCAAUACUACCCAACUUUCCACGAGACCUGUAGAAAGGAUAUAGGAAUGCCCCGACACAGAAUAUUUGACGUUGCUGGUAGGACUUUGAGGCUUUCCAGUUUUCCUCCUAUCCACAGGCCGGAGGCUGUUGGGAAUUACCUUGAACGUAGGAACCCAUGAUAGGCCUAACUCCAAAGGGAGAGACCUAAGAAAGGGGAGGUAUUUCUCAGAUAGUGAUUUAACUGAAGAUGAAAUCAAAAUUGAGCAGGGAGUCAUAUUCCAAAUCGCUUUUCAAGAAAGCAACUUCUAUUUUGAUCUUUGUCUUUUUAUGAGUUCGCCUUUAGUAUGAUUCCGCUCUUCGAGAACUCUGAUGAUUCUACCUCCUUCUCUAGAAAGUUCAGUCAGGAAAGCCUACCAUUAACAAGUCCUUCGCCUACAUGGAUAUAAAGAAGUCCGACGGGUCAGAAUGACCUCAAUAUUCUUUCUCAUAUUUCAUUGACCCGUCCGAAGGACUCAGAAUUCCAUAGUCCAGGUGAUCAUAUAUUGGGACACUAGGCGGUGGGCUUUCUUCUUCUUCUUCUCCUUUAUCACGGGAUAGCUCUGACUUUGAAGCGAAGGAUUAAUGGAAAAAGGUUUGAAUAAAGACUCUCAUGUGUUAAGCAAAUGAUCUGAGAUCCUUUUUUUGCCUUUCAAACUUGUCUAUUUUAUACAUCUAUGAGUAAAAAAUAUAUCUAGUUUCGAACAAGGGUGGAUUUCCAGACAUCAUGAUGUAUCAUUCAUUUUUCAUGAAUCCGUAGAAUGGAUAGUCAUCCAAAUGAAUGAUGUGCCAAGUGGUGACACGAGGGAGGAUUUUCAGUCCUCUGCUCUACCAACUGAGCUAUCCCGGCCAUUUCCGACACAUUAUCCUUCUUUUAAUAGAUGACUUUGGUCUAUUAAGAAGAAAAUCAAAGGGACCAGAUGAGAGACGGGUUAAUAUGGAUAGUCCUUCGGACUGCCCUUUUUUUUUUGAUUUUGGAGGGGGAGCGGAGGCGCAAUGAAAUAUGCGUGAAUGAAUGAAUGCGCUUUCUUGAUUCUUACUUCAGAUUCCUUUAAGUAGGUUUAGAAGGCUCCUUUUGAUAGGCUUUCUCUCUCUACUCUAGUAAAGCUUUUUUUGUUGAGUAGGUUAUUGGUGGCGGAGAAGGACGUAGAAGGCAUCAAAAUGCAAUUCCUCUGACUUGAAACCGCGGAGUGGGAAGGCUUAGAGAAGAUCAGAAGAGAAAAUAGAAGAGAAGAGCUUGAAUUGAAAGAGAAGAUCAGACUCGAGUGAGGAAGAUAGAGAUCAAGAGCGGGAGAGAAAGAAGAAGAACAAGAACCUACUACUACUAAAAUCAAAGAAGACUAUAUAUAAAGGAGAGGCAAGGAAGAAUUGCCUAUCCUUCUACGUCCUCCUAAAGAAAGCCUAAGUCAGAAAGCCUAUCAACUAGAAAUCAAUGAACAAGGCUCAAAGAAUGAUCGGCGUCCUUUUGACCUCCGGAACCUAUUAGUGGAAUCUUUGACUUAGUGGAAAUUAUAAGGGGUCCAGAUGACUUGUUAAUGGAACUGAUUGUAGUAGGCGUCGGACCUUCAAAGUCAUUCAUACUAUAUUCACUUUCUGGGCUUGAGGCUAAAGAAUAUGAGUUCUCGCCCAAGACGGCGACUUUCACUUCGCUCAUAUUACAUUGAGCCUCUCACGCAAGUCAAAUUCUCUAAUGGAUAGGCCUCUACCCUCUUCGGAAAGAGAGCUGACCGGCGGGGCGGGGGUAGUUCGACUAACCGGGGUUUCAGGAGUUCCUCUGGGUCUCGACUGAGAACCUUUCCUGUCCAUGAAUGGGGAUUAUCUCGUUCAUUGCUCUCGUGCAUUCUUCUUGAGAUAAUCUAAGAUAUUACGGGGAAUCCUCUAGAAGAAACUGAAGGAAGGAAAGCUGCGGUGCGGGUAUAUUGAAUAACCGACAAAGAAAGAAAGCCACGUAGCGGUAUCUCGGGCCUAGAGGUUUGAGUACUCCAGAAGCAGGGGCUCGGUCUAAUUCAAAGAUCUGCUUCAUCCUAGGCUUUCUCUUUGGAAACUGAGAAUUAUGCCUCUGAGAUCCUAGUGCGGGUCGAGCGGCUUGAAUCUUGGACUCCUUUUAGUCGAGCUUCAACUCAUCUGGAGCUUGAUUUUUCUGUUGCAAAAGAAAGCGGAAAUCUUCAAGCAAUAUUCUUUCGCAAAUUCUUUGCGCCUCUUUGUCGAGUUAGAAAGGUUCGGGAUUUGAAUAAAUGAGAUGAGAGAGUGUUCUUGAAUAUAAGCUUUGCCACAACGAGAGCUACUGAAGAAAGAGCUGCUCCUCCUACUCUCGAACCAGGAGUCGCGCAUAUGGAUUAUCUGAUAUUAGAUCGUAUCGUAGAUUCAGAUUAUCUGACAAGGCAAGGAUUGCGCAUACGUUGCCUACCCGAGAGCCCUUGCCAGACUUCCAACCGCUAUAUCUUCGUCCCACGGCUUGCCAGACUCACAUCUUGAACGAAAACAUUCCAUUUGACAUGAGGGACUCCUAACAACACAACUAAGCUAUAGGGAAAGAACUACGCUACGGGAGAGGAUCAGUCUCGAGCAUAGCGAGAGGGAACCCUCACAUCUUGAUGUCAGACCAGAGGUGAGACUUGCCAUAAGUCAUCUAUUGCCUGACGAUGGCAAGCCAGAGCUGCUACGGCUAUAGAGCGUAUAGGAAGUCUAAUUUGAUCUAUGGCUCUUAUGGUUCUGAAAAGCUUUUUUCGAAUGACUGAGACCUUGAAAGAGCUGAGCGUAGAGAUGCGUCUGUCUGAUUAGUGAGUCCUUAUGGCAAUGUAGCUAUGCCAGAGUGUGGGAUUCUGAGCGUUAAGGGAAGCCUCUUGCUCGUCUGAGUGGGAGGGCUGAUGCCGGAUCGUCUGAUCGGAGUUCCUCUGUCCUGAGCCUUGGAUCUAGGGAUGCCCGAGCUCCUCCUGGGACAGAGCGUUCAUGUGCUUGCUUCACACUCUUGGCUACGACAGACAGAGUUGACUAUAGCUGUGCAUGCCAAUGGACUAGCCGAUAGGUAAGGAUAGCGCAUACGUUGCCUACGCAAUACUAUGUAUAGUCGAGUAAGCUAGCGUUCUAUCAAGUCUAGUACGAGGAGGAUCUUGCUUGGUAUACGAUACUUGCUAGACUAUGCAUUGCCAGACUCCGGCAAGACCGAAGAGUGCCACUACGAUAAGUAGAAUUAUGUAAAUACCGAAAAAAACUUGUUGUGGGAGCAGCCAAAAAAGAAGAGACAUUCAUUCAUUGAACGAAAGAAAUUUCGUAAAGUAAUUGAAUUUGAAUUAGGUCGUACCUUGACUCUCUCUGACUAGUGCAUUACAACAAGAAGAAAGCUGCAGGUAUUAAUCUUAGGCAAGAUUGAGGCUAAGACGGGGUUAUUCGCAAGGCCAGGGGCAGUAUCAAAAGAUAUAGAUCCCAGUCUAGAAAGAGAGAUAACUAAUUUGCCAACCAGUGGAAGAGCCUUGAACCCGCCCACUCCUAGGUAGGGUAGUUGGAACAUUUAUUGGCAUUAGUCAACCGGGAAUUUGUCCUCCUCGUAUUUCUCUAUCGACCAAAGAAAGAGAAGGUGCCCAAUCUAAUGCCCUAGUCUAUGUAGUAGCUGCCACCUUUGAGAUUGGUAAACUAGAAGAAAUACCAUCCAAUCCAGGAUUCAGUGCCAUCUGGGAUCCCACGUAGCGGUUGAGUACGACCCACUUUGUGAGUCUUGCAGACGAACGAACUCUUCAACGGGGUUGACUUUGAAGAAGAAAUCGAAAUACAAGGUUUAGCGGGUUGUUCAUCCUUUCCGUGCCCGUGCCCGUGCCCUCCCUAUAAAGCUAGCUUGGGAGGGGCGGAGCUGGCAGAGCCACCAGCGGCGAAGGGAUGGAGGUGGGUAAGAUCAAGAAAUUCCUUUGUUCAUACGUGCCGUAGGUAAAUUCAAUCCAAUCCAGGUUCGUAUGAUGAGGAAAGGGAGGUAAAGAAGCUGGCUAAGAAGAUUGGCUAAUUGGCCAAUCCGUUCCCAGUGACCCAUCUAAUUGAUUCGAUCCAGUGCAGAAAGAAGCGAGUGAGCGGCAACCAAUAUCGGACCUGGCGAAUAUCUGUCUCUCAAUCCCGGGAUGAAUGAAAGGAGGUGCAAUAUUGACCUAACCUCUCCUUCCUUUCUUCACUCUUUCUUUCUUAAUCGAUUUGUUCUCUCUCUUAAUGGAAUUAUCUGAAUCGAUUUAAUCUCCCUAAUCUUUCUUUCUUAAUGGAAUUAUCUGAAUCUCUUGUAUUUCUCGAUUUGAUAGCUUAAAAAGACAUCUUGAUCUAUUUUCUUGUUUAUAUAUGAUAAUCGAUAUCUUUGAUCGAUUGUAUUAAUCUCUUUCCUUUAUCGAUCUUUCUUUCUUGAUCGAUCUGAUAGCUCUUACUCUUAAGCGUAGCGACUCAGACCGCUAGCCUGAAUCAGCUUUCCUUUCAACUUCAUCAGCUUUCCCGGAUCUUUCUUCAUCUGCUUUUCCUACGCGUAGCGACUCUAUCUUUAUUGAGAGAUAUACCCGGGACAGCCUGAAACUCUUUCAGCGUAGCGGUAGCCGAGCGGUGGCUUCUCCCUUGCGGAUUUGGACAGGCUGAACAGGACAGGCCCGGCUCUCGGUCGGUGGGCUUCACCCGCUCCGUGGGUUUUCUGUUUUUCAGCUACGCGUAGCCUUCGAAUAUGAAUCUAAGGGCUCCGUAGGAGUUGAAAGGAGGGCAUUAAUGUGCAAAUGGUGUUUAUGAGUCCUCCGGACGACUCAAAACGAAUCAAUGAACAAGUCAUUGAAUAAAGUCAACUCAGAAUGGAACGAGUUCAAGAGGUCUUCAGACUCCGCUCCAAAAACAAAGGUCCUCAAUUCAAAGUUCAAACUCAAAAAAGCAGCGAAGGACUCAUUCAUUCCACAGGUUCAUAUGGAAUUUCAUGACUCCCAAUGACUCCUACGGAGCCUGAUUUUCCACUCAUUCAAUGCCUGAGGACGGACGGAAGUAGCUCGACCAUAGGAAGAGGGCCGUAGGACCACUCAAACUUAUGCUCCGCUCAUCUCUAGCCUUGUUUUGAUAUACCUUGAAUUCUUCUUCUCUUUAUUCAAUGAUCAUUCAAAGGCGAACUUUCAGUCUUGUCAACGCAUAUUUCAUUGCGCCUUCGUCCGGACGGAGCAAAGAGCGAAAAACUGAUAAUAUCUAUAUAUAAGUCAAGUAGCUUCUUAUCUUAUUAGAAUCAAAUUUCUGAGACCACUUAUUUAAUCAACUUCUUUCUUUCUUCUUAUUCAUGGGAUCAAACCCGGGAUUUUGCGCAUUCAAUGUACUAGUUCUUCUCUCCUAUCUCAUAUUGACAAGAAAUAGAUAGGAAGGAAGGAGGGCUCUCCUAUAAUCAGAGAAGAAUCAAGGUCAUCCUUGCACUCACUCCUUCCCAGUCGCUUCGCGCCUUCGUCUGCUAUAAGAAAGCCUUCUCUAAUCAGAACCGAAUCUCCUUCUCGGCUAAAAGUUAGCAGGAUUGAAACCACCGUCGGAGUAGAGUGCUCCCGGCCUAGGGCCAGCUAGGUGGGGAAUUGCAUUCAAACCCCCAUUUUUUUCACAUGAUUUGGAGUCAAACCCCUCGAGCAUCAUUCCCUUAACUCACAUUCAUUCACAUCAAGAAGCCGACUACGCGGUUCAGAGGUCGUCCUUUGCCGAAGCAUCUUGAUUCCUAUGAGAUUCAGAGUAAGCGCGGGUAGGACGAAGUCCGAAGCUAGCUUCGGAGCAUUAUUAUCCGUUGAGGAAGAAAGGGUGCGGGGCGAAGCAGCUAUCCCAAUACUGAAAGAGGGUCGAUCUAAUUCACCGAGACGGAGAGGGUAGAGAUCUGAAGUACUAUUAUCGGCAGUUCGUAUGAGAUCUUUCUUUCAUAGGUGGAGUUCUCAUCUCGGAUGAGGAAUGAAAAGAGAUUAUUCUAUUUCAAUAGAGUAGCCCACCCUUCCCAAGAGGUGAAAAAGACUAAAAGGAAGAAAGCCCCGAGGUUCGGAGCUGUCAAGCAAUUAUUCUUUUUGAAUAUCUACUCUGAUGAUCAAUACUGCUUUCCCAAGGCAAAUCUAAGAAGUUCAGUCAGAAAAGAGAAGAGUCCUUCCCCGCAAACCCCGUACUCAAAAAAGGCAUUUCAUACUCGACCAGGACUAAAGGGAAUGCUAAACCUUGCAAAUUCUAGAUGGACUCGUGAUAGAAUGCCAAUUGAAGUAAUGAGAGGCAGACGACCAAUAAGGAUUCGGCAAUUAGCUUAUCCCAUAGGAUCGACCUCUCCAGUACCAGUAUCGGAUCCACGGGCCAUUGAAUAAGAGGCAGGGGUAUUCUCUCUUUCAUCAGAGUCCCGGUCGGAACCCCAUCGACCGGGGAAGAGGAUAUAUAUAGGCGAGACGGAGAGGAGACUCGACCAAAGGUUCUUAAGUUCAAUAUUUAAGGAGAGAGAAGAGGAUAUAUAUAGGCGAGACGGAAGAGGAUCCCGAAAGAAAGAGACCUCCACCCUUGAGCAUAACUGAUUAUUUUGGAUUAGUUAUCUUAUAGGUUCAAAGAAUCAAUUGCAGUUUCAGAGGCGGGAAAGGGCCCUUGUUCAUUGAUUCCUCUUUCAUGAUUUCGUAUUCCGUCUUCCAUUGAAUCAUAUCUGAUAUCCGGAAUAUCCUAGAUUCACAAAUCAAAAUUUCUUCUUCUUUCUUCUGUCUUUCUCGAGAAACCUCCGCCCAAAGUGCGAGGUUUAGCCGUCAGUGGACCUAAAUAAAGGUGGACGCUCAGCCGGGGGUAAGAACUAGUUGAGGAAUGAAUAUCUAUAUAGUCUCUCGUUAUAGGAGUCAAUCUGUCUCGGAAUUGCUCAUUCUCAAUGAAUUUUUCUUUCGCAUGAAAAGGAAAUAAUAGAACCGAUAGGGAAUGAAUAAGAGUUAGCAUCAAGGAUCUUUCACUGAGAGUUCGUAUGAUCAGAAGAUCAGACAGGCUAGGCGUAAUUGAGUCGAGUUAGUUUAUUCUCUCGGAUUAUUUGCGGGAGAGAGAGAAGGACUUGGGGAGAGACCGAGUUUGAGUCUUCCCCAUGUUCUCAGUUAAUGAGAGAGUGGUCCAUGCAUUUCAUUCUAAGUUGAGACUGGACUGAAGGUAAAUCAGUACAAUAAGGGAAAGUGCAAUCUGCCUCGGUUUCGGAAGAGGAAGCUCGCCGCCCCUUGAUCAGAAGUUGCUCUGGCCCUGGCCUCUUUAUUUCAGUUCUUGAAUUAAUUCAAGGGAUUCUCCGAUCGGGCUAACCCGCAUUUCAAGACCAAAAGGUUUACAUAACGGAAGGGUAGAUUUUCACUCUCUGUCCUUGAGCCACGGAGUAUAGCAAAUCCACUCCGAUCUUAUGGGCUCACCUUGCCCGCCAUCUCUCUCCUUCAUCUGAAUGGGAUCGUAAAAUAAAGGAUCCGCAUUUCUUUGAAGAUCUCCCAUUAUUUCACUCUGAUUUCCUACAAAAAGGUCUGAAUCUGGGAAAUGGGGAAGUAGUCCUCAAUAAGAAGAUUCAAUCUAUUAGUUGAAUGAUUCUCUGAUCUUUUUCCGCUCGACCUAGUCCUCAUCGGAAUUCUAAGUCGACAGGCACAGGACAUCAAUCGUGACGAACUUAGUAGGGUGAGUCCCGUCUCAGACGAAGGAAGGGCAGUUGAAGGAGAAGUCGGCCCUGUCCCGUGUUCGAGGGAAAGAAUAUUAGCACACACCUCCCCCCUAAUAAUCCUACACAAAAUCAAAGACCGCAGAGUCUUUAGAAGUAGACCGAGUUCGCCUUUAUUGGUCGAAAGAAGAGUAAGAAUUCUCAGUUUAGCUUAUAUUUAUGAAGCGGAUUCUCCGUAUUUUUACCCAUCCCCGUCCUGCCCUCGCAGUAGUCCUUUCUCUUGUUCUUGAUUUGCAUAAAAGACAAGACCAUUUCCCGAACCUCAAUUUCUUUCUUGGCACUAUGCCAACCUAAAAAAGGUUAGAUAUAGGCAGGCGAGACCGUAAAUCUCUCGUACUCCAACUCAGUAUCCUUCCCCGGUCCGGGAAAGCUGCUUGCGAGCCUGCUAUUCGUCGAAUGAAAUACCUCCCCCCCCGAUCUUUUCUAUAUAUUCUUUGCACUCCUGUCCGAAGGACUCGCUCCCCUGCAGAUAAAUGCGCUUGUCUAAUCGACCCUCUUUCUCUUCCCUUUCAUACUUCUUUCUUCUUUCUCUGUCUCAGUCUGUCUUCUACACAGCCUCUGACCUCUACGUCCCCGGUGCGUAGGGCCGAUCCCUGCGAAAGAAAGGAUUUUGGAAGAGGUAGAUUCAUUCAUGAAAGGCAUAUUGAAUUGCGCCUUCGUUCAAUUCCCACGCCAAAAAGAAAGGUCCAGAUGACUAUGAAGGAGGUUCAAAGAAGAUUUCAUUGACUAUUCAUCCUAUUACUUUAAGAGAGAAUGAAAGAUAGUUCAAAUUGUAAUACGAUCGAUAUUACGAUAUCUUGAAUGAAGAAAGAGACUGUAACAAGGUCAGCCUCUGCUUCAAGGGUUCUGAUCCGGGCAAAAGGCAGGAGGAGCCAGGAGUUGUUUAGGAAGGAAUCCGAGACUGGGAAGGCGCAAAGAAUAUUAUAUUGUUGGAAUCAAUUGAUUAAGAAUCUUCUCAAUCCCCUAAUGGAUAGUCAGUCCGAAGGACGGGGGAUUUGAGAGGCGCAAUGAAAUAUGCGGGGAACGUGAAUUCCACCGAAUAUCUUCUUCCUUUCCUCGGAGGCCUUAUAGAUCGUGCUGGUGGGAGUUUGUCCCUAAUCCGGAUAAGGCGCUUUCUUGCUUAUUAAUUAGUCUUUCUUGCUUAUUCAUUCUUUCCACUUCUACUUCAACUGAAUUUCUUUGAAUAAAAGCUAGUUUCCACAGAAAGGGCUACUACUUACUGAUUUUUCUGAAAGAAGAAAAAGAAACUUUCUCCACCUCGGCCGCAACAGAGAUCCCGCAACGGACCACCCUGAUCCCGUAGCUCUAUAUCCUUAGUGGUUAGUGGAGAACAAGUCAAAUCACAUUACUGAAGAGAAGAUUAGUAAAUCAAUGUAACCUACUUAAAGGAAAAGGAAUUUCAUGAUUAUGCCUCCGUCUGACCCCCUCCUGAUUUUAUGGAAUCGGUCUUUUAUCUUAGAUAAACUUAUACAACUCCGUAUAAUUUGCCUUCGCACCUCUCCAACUCAGGAAUCCCUUUCUUCAAGAAAAGAUCGCGCAUCGACUAAGACGAGUAGAUAAAGAAUGGGAUAAAUAAAGAAGUUGUCACGCGCCUUGGUCAAGAGAGAUUGAUCAUUCCCGAUCGCAACUGAAACGGGGACGGAAGGAUUCGAACCUCCUUUGAUAGCGCCCUCACCACCGGGCCACGCCCCAUGACUAAUAUUGAGAAGGCAGGCAUAUUUCUCUUCAUCCUGGUUUGAACAAGUGAGAUUCAAACUUGAGACAAAAGGAAUUCAUCUGCUGACAUCAAUGAACAAGGCUCAAAGAAGAAAGAAGAGAAUGGCGAUCAGUAUUUGAGAAGAAAGAAUAUCCUUAGCUGCCGUGAGUUGCGUGAGAAAGAAAUAAAUAGGAUGAAUAGUCAGAAGGCGCCAUAAGACAGGUCCGAAGGUUCCAUAAGAGGGAUAUUGAGAAUUUGGUCCUUCAUUCAUCAAAUUUCAUUGAUCCUUCGCUCAAUUCACAUCCAUAAAUAAAGGGCUCUAAAAUCAAGGCGGCAAAGAAAAGGUGAAUAUGGGUAAUCGACAAAGGCGCCGGAAAGAUUCCAGCCUAUCUCUUCGCUUCCUUCUAUAUGGAUAAAGAAGUCCUUCGGACGAGUCAAUAAGGUCUUUUUUCGCUCAUCAUAAUCCUCUGGAAAAUUACCUUUGAAAUCCGAGUCCUUUCCUUGCCUUGAGUGAGGGCUUUUCGACCAGCAGGAAUCUCCUGCCGCAGCACUAAGCAGGCUAGCCGCCUAUCCCCCUGGCUCCUAGUGUGUGCCUGAGUGGAAUCCUUGACUUAGUGGAAUGAAUGAGUUUCCGGAGGUCCUCCGUUUUAGAUUUAGAGUCCUACUUCCUUCCAUAUGGAUGGUCCUACUUCGGUUAAUUACGGAUGGUCCUACGGAUAAAUCCUCCGGACUACUUCCUUCCAUAUGGAUGGUCCUACUUCUAAUGGAUAGUCCUACGGAUAAGAAUCCUCCGGACUCCGGACGUAGGAUAAAUCCUGCGGACGUAGGACCCUGGACCUUUCUUUGAUGGUCCUCCUAACUACGGGCUCCUUUGUCGAUUUGCGCGGAGCAGACUGAUUUCUUAUCGUAAGGGCAGUCCUCCCCUAAUUUCUUUUAUGGAUGUUCAUAGAUCCUUGCCUCCAGUUAAGGCUUCUAGCCUUCCUUUCGAACAUAUUAGUGGUCCGAAGGACUUCGGACGGAGAGGGUUCUCCGGACCUUUUUUAUCCACAGAUUAAGCUUGAUAAAUCAGUGUUAAGCUAUUUUAGUGGAAUGAAUGAGAUAUUAGAAUAGCGAAUAGUCCUUCGGACUGGUCUUGGUCUCUUUUUCUCUUGCUUCGUAGAUUAGCAUAUUUCCGCAAUAUUCUUUGCACCUGGUUGGGUUGGGAAAGCUUCCUCUUAAGUAUGACUAGAGAUCUUCCCUAUCCCGCCGAUCAAAGAAUUGAGUUAGCAUUCUUCUUUCUUCUAUUCUAAUAGAGUGAUUUGUGAUUAUUGACUUGCUCGCUUCGCCACUCUCCCUCUUGGCUGCUUCGAGCCUGUCCUGAGAAUGAAAGAGGAAGUCUGACUUCUGACUCCCGAGCCUCCUCUGCUGCUUAAACUGUCCUCUCCAACUCUUUCUCUAGCUUAGCUUCCUACAAAUCCCCUAAUGGAUAGUCCUUCGGACCUGUCUCGCAAUAUCCUUUGCGCCUCGCAAUAUUCUUUGGGCCUCAGUAGCUUAAUUCAGAAAGUCAAAUCCCAUGAUUCCUGCUACCUGCCCCUUUAAAGGUCUAGCUUCAGCAACAGAUAAUUACCUUGAAGCCGAAAGAGGGACGACUGGGACGAGGGAUUCCUUUGAUUAUGGAAGGAAGGAGGCUCCUAUCCGGUAUCGCUUUCAGUUACUCAUGCGAAGUGGAAGUCUUAGAGUUCCCUUGAACAUAGUGAUGAUCACUCUUAUUCUCUUAUUAUGCCGCUCCCUCUUCUCUCCGCAAUAUUCUUUGCACCUCUUCUCGUCCUUUGGAACCUCUCCGUCUCUUUUUAGUACUUCCUGCUUGCUGCUUUCCCGCCGAUGAAGAUGAAUUGGGAUUGAUUGAUAUAGUGCAAAUUGAGUUCUUUAUCAAUAGCCCUAUUCAGACCGCUCCGUGGGACCUAUUGGUAUAGCAGUUCAACUCCUUCCCGGUUAGCAGCUUUCUUUGGAACCUACUCUGAUGAGACUGAUUCCGAUGAUCCCGUAGUAGGUCGAGCCACUAUUUUUGCCCUUUCUUUUGAGUGAUUUAUUCCGUACCUAGGGAAGUCUUCCGCUUAUUAUGCUGGUACCUCGCCAACUCAGUUUAGACGUUCCACUCCUUGCUACUUUGCUCCACUUCUAACCCGGAGGGGGCGGUCUUAGUUCACGCUUGAGGCUAGUCUCUAGCUCUAGCUUGUUGGGUCGAGCGGUCCCUCUGUAGGUAAGUAGGUCGAGCGCCUUUGUCCCUGAAAGGUUGAGGUAGUCUUUCCCUUUUAUAGAGUGAUUGCUUUGCUCCCUCUUCUGUGAUGAUUCUAAACGGAGACUUGAUCUUCCUCGUCAAGGAGCAUAACUCAAGAUUAUGCAGCAAGGGGACUCCCAUUGGUAUCGCUUCCUCGAGAUCCUUACCUUUUUCAAUGAAUGGAAGAUGCAAGAACAACUGAAGCGGGUGCCUGUCGGCCUACUUUACCUUCUUUUUCCUGUGAAUUUGAUCCAAUCCAAGGCGGAAUCCAUCCCAGAGUUCUUUCUACAAAAUAGCUAAAAUCAAAGCUCCAGAUGAGUUUCAGUUCAAAGAAAGGAUAACCUUUGACGAAGACCUUUCCGAUCAUUUGGCCUAAGGCCGAUUGAUCUAUUUUCUAUCCAUCCACUAGUGUGACAAAGACAGAGAUUUGACUCCUGCUUCCCAGCAAAAUGCUCAUUCAAAGGAGUAAACGAGGAAAUCGGGAUCCUUUUCUCUGAGAAGGAAGACCAUACUACAGACCGCCCGCUUAGGGGUUGGCGCCGUAGAGCAGGAGGACGGUCGAUCUUUCGUUAUCGGGUGAAUCUUGAAGUUCUCAUUCUCUCUUUCGAGUCAUUGGAGAGGCGCGAAGAUGCUCGACCGGUUCUAAUCGUAUGAUCUCUUUAUCAUGGCACAGAUGCAUUUGCUUGGGCGCAGCUGCUCAAGAAAAAGUGCUCAAGCUUUAGUGUAGAACAUUGUCUGAAGAGCUCACUGAAAGGGAUAAGACUUUCUUCUCGGAGAAGAAGUGAACGAGACCCGUAGCUUACUCCAGCGGGAGCAAGACGGACUGGGGCUCUGAGAGUUCCAGCAUAUCCAAGCCUUAGUGGAAUAAUACGUUUUUAAGUGGAAGGCAACUCAUAUUACAUUGAGCCUGCAACUGUGCCCCGCAUUUAGCCUUACAGUCGAGCCGCUUUCGCUCCAGGUGCUCAGGAAAGUUCGGAGACGGAUGUAGCUUCUUAAUAUGGAAGAAAGUUAAGCUUGAUAAAGUCCUUAUAAUGUCUAAUCUUUCUCUGGGUCCUCCGUUUUAGAGUCCUACGGAUAAAUCACCUGGACCUUUCUUUGGCACUUGCAAAAUCUAGUAUUUUACUCCUCCCACAAAGAUGCACAUUUUUCAUUCCCAUGUUCCGUCCGAAGGACUUCUUUAUCCAUUAGUCGUUAAUGAGCACUUGAACCUGUCUUUCUCAUUCGCAUACCGAUCAAGAAAAGCCUCAGCUACUGCUUCCCUCAACGGCUUCUGAUCCUUAACUCAGUCGAGCAGCUUCAACAGCUUUUUAUGGGAAUUCAGACUCUUCCUCUUCCGCCGAGACGGCUUCCGGAUGGAUGUCUUCCCUUGUAUUGUAAGAGCUUUUUUCUGCUUUCUAGUUCACAAGAGGAGGACGAGUGAUUCAGAGUUGUCUUCCUUGUCUAAAUUCCGAAUUCCGAAACUUGAGAAGUUUAGCUAGGUCAAUAUUCUUUGAACCUUUGGUCGUCUAACCUCAGUAAAGCGGCUUCCCACCUCUCCCGAACGGAGCUAGCUAAAGAGUUUAUUCAAUCUACUACCCCUUUCUCAGAUACGACUUAUUUAGGAGCGAACGAUUCUAUCACGCUCGCUAAGAGGAAUUCAAGAACCCCACCACCAGGAAGGGAAUAAGAAGUAGUACUGGUGGUAGCAUUGGAAUGGAUCGCUUUUCCCGAAUGGAUAAGUCUCGCUUUCUCUUU